rnacentral:lncRNA from 1 species
UUUUUUUUUUUUUUUUUUGUGCUCAAAUUCAGUGAUUAUGUAGUUAUAUAUGGAGAGUAUUAAGUGCUUACAACUAUAAUGCAUGGACAUUCACUUAUUCGUUGAUUUACAUAACAUAUAUAAUUAUACACGUGACAUCCAUAACAAAUAAGAAAUCAUUAAUAAACAAUAAUUCUUACAUAUAUUUAUCAAAUUAGAACAAUAAAUCAAUAAUAUAUUCUUCGUAUUAUUAUUAUGAUUUAUUACCAACAAUGAGAACAAAUUAGAAUUUCUAUUUGAGAGAAUAUCACCAUAUCAUUAAAAUAAUAAUAAUAUAUGGUAUUUUGUAUAUUUAACUAAAAAUUGUUAAUUGACUAACUUUAUUGCUGUCAACAUACUGAUUAUCUUCCUAUUCAAUAUGGGCUUAAUAUGGGAAUAUAUUUUCAUUCCUGUAAUCACUAUCUUUGUUAUUUUCCCCUUGAGAUCAGUCAGCAAAGUAGGUAAAAAUCAUGUUAUUUUCAUUUUAUUAUAUUAGUUGACUUUCAAUAACUUUCAAUUUAAAAUAAAAGGUAUUUCUGAGUUCUAUUUGAUAUUUUAACUAAAAUAGGAUUUUUCCUACCAAUUUUAACUAUCCAUUUCUUAUCAUACAUUAUCAUAAAAAAUAUUAGAGGGGCGUCAGAAUAUAACCCAUGUUUCGUUAGCAUUCUAAAAUUUACAUAGAAUUCUGAAAUUUUAAUCAUUUAAUCUCAUGUAAAAGAAAAGAUAGUGUCAAAAUUUACUAUUAAUAAAAUUUUGAAUUUAUUCUAAAUCAAACCUAAAAGAAUAAAUAUUUUCUAAAAUGAAAUUUGGGCAAAUAUCAUUGAAGAUAUUUUUCUUAGAAAAAGAGGUCAAUAUAAAUGUGAGUUCGAGCGCCAACUUAAGGAUUCUUCUUAGUUUUUGUUUUGAACUGGAUUGUUAACUGUUUAUCAAAAUUUCUUUACGUGGUCCAGUGGACGAUACGAGGCCCAAUAAGGCCCAUACACUGGCACUGCCAAGUAGAAAAUGAAGCAGUCCGUACUCCGUAGAUUAAGGGAGUUGUUAUGGAAGUUGCCACUGAAUGCAAACACGAGAAGGGCCGUUCAAUAUUAAUCAUCCCCUAUAUAUUAAUAAAUAUGAGAAACAUUUUUUUAAAAAAACCUUACCAUUAUGUGUUAUUAACAAGAUUGUCACGUUGAUAUGUCGCUUUCACAAUGAUUUGGCUUAUAUUUAGAUAAUUACCCAAAAUUUAUUAGACUAUUUACAGAAUUUGCCAUUAGUCUCAUAUAUCCAUAUAUCUCAUUAAUAAUUAAAAACAUACACUUUUUGUUUAUCUUAUAUUACUAUAUUUUUAUAUUUAUAUUUUUCUUUAUAUAAAUUUUCUUUAGCAGAUGGGUAAACAAUCUUUUUAUUUAUAUUUAUAUUUAUGUUUAUAUUUAAAUGAUAAAAUAUAUACAUUUGGUUCAAGAAUUUCGAAUUCAAAACUACAAAAUCUUUACAUCUUUCAUAAAUUUUUUACUUAAAUAAAUAAGAUAAUCUCCUUUCUAUAUAUGUUACGAAUACUUAAAAUCCACUUAAAAUCCUAUUUUUUGGAGGAGUUCUAACAUUUCGAAGAAAAACAUUAUAACCACAUUUGUAUAUAAACCAAAUUCUGGCCACAUUAUAACCAUUUCGUAAAUAAUCCAUUCAUAAUCUAAGAAUCUUAGAUUUGGAACACUACAAAAUCUUAGCUUGGAAACUAUCAAAUCUCAUCUUUGCUAAAUUUUGGAUUUCUUAUACUUAUUAAAAAAAAAAAAAUCUUUUUAUACUACAAAAUCUCGAAAUCUUUAAAACAUACGGAAAGACAUAUUGCCAUAAAUGGUAACAUUUCGUCAAUACUUUUUUAUUAUAUUGAAGCUUUAUUCAAGGUUCAAAUAUUUCACGGGUAAAACCUAUUCUUAUAUGAAAUAGUCCCAAAUUUGAAUAAAACAAAAAAAAAAUUGUAACAUGUUUCGUUUUACACAAACGGAUCUUGGAUCCCGGAUAAUAAUUUUAAUCAUAAUAAUUUUACUUGAAUCACUUCAUCCCGCAUAUCGUGCGGAUUGUUAUCUAGUUCCAUUAUAUUUUCAAAUAUUGUUUUUGGUUUUUACUUUUACCAAAAAUAAGGGGUAAAAGUUUCAAAACACAAGAAAACAACACUACAAAAAAAGUGUGCAUUGAUAGCACUACACGAUAGCACGGAUUCUCUAAUUGCUAUUAAAGAUGGUAUGCAGAAUUUUGUAACUAUAUCAUAGCGUUUCAAAAAACGCUAAGACGAAUAAUAGCAAAGCGGGAAGCAAAAAUACUUAUGACCGCCAACAAUUUUCCAAACUAUUUGAUUUAACGCCCGCCAUUAAAAAAAAAAAAAGAACUCUUAAUGACCUAGGUCAUAAGACUUAACUUCUAGUUUUUUUUCUAAGUCUUUACUCGUCGUCUUCUUCUCUAAAAAAAGUUCUCUCAUCUCUAGAUCCACACCACCGCCUAGCCACAUACCUUUUCAGUUGGCAUGGUCUCGUCUCCUCCGUCUUCCACCGUUAAAGGUACCAGUCUAUUCCUCCUCGUCUUCUCUUCACAUCUUCUUCUUCUCCCUCCCUUCUCGUCUUCACUUCUUGAUGAAAUUCAGCCUCAUGGAUUUGAAUCGGUGUGUCAAGGAGAUGAAUUCGCACAAGAUAAAUUGAAUCGGUAAGGAGAUCGGAAACCAGAUGGUGGUGACAAGAAGGAGAAGAAGUUCGAACGAGCCGCACCACCUGCUCGUGUUGGGAGGAAGCAACGGAAGCAGAAAGGACUUGAAGCGGCGGCUAAAUUUCAGACCGUGACUCCUACUAAAUGAAAGCUUCGAUUGCUUAAUAUAAAGCGAUUAGUACAUAAAUGAUUGGAUCAUGACCCUCUAUUUCCCUGAUUCGAGUAAGUUCCUUCAUCUUUCUUGAUUGGGUUGUUGAAAAAUUGUAACUUAAUGGUUCUACUCCGAGUUAACUGUUCUAAUUGAAAACUGGAAACUUGAGCAGAAAUACGAAGCUAGUCGAAAAGCUGAAUGAUGCAUACAAGAAAUUCAUGGAUUUGCCUAACGACUUAUUUUUCAGUUUUGUCUACGACUCUAGCAUGGAUUGUUGAGUGUUAUAUCUUUUUAAUAUGUCUUAUGCUUGCUUUGAUUUGUUGUUAAUAUGUCUUUUUAAGGAGAUGAAAUCCACCGAUAGCCUGGUAUGCUUCCACUUUCUCGUCUCUCAUGCUAGUAAAUUUAUGCUUGCUUUGAUUUGUUGUUAUGUAAUUGAUUUUAUUUUAAGGGGUUACGUUUUUAGAGUUCUAUUUGCACACAAGGUGUUCGACGAAUUGACUGUGAGACAGAAACUGAGAAACGACUCUCUCAACAUGUCUUCCUAUGAUGAUCUUUCAUGUUUGCUAAUUGAAUGUAAAAAUUUGACCUUUGCUUUUGUAGUCUAAAAUGGUGGACUAUAUCCUUGAAGUCUCUAAUCCUAUGAAACAGCACUUUGAGGUGAGUAAUAUUUUUUGUCUGUAAGCUCUUAGUGCUAAGAAGUUUGUAAUUGUGAUUUGGCAGCUCAUUUUAAUGUGGAGGGUUUUGGUUAUGUCCAGUUAACACUAUAACCUCAAGUUUUGUGAAUAGAAAAACGUCUAUAGAUUAAGACCACCACUAGGUAACUAGAAACUCUUCAUUCAAGGUAAAUAUUCUUUACUUUCUUAAAUUAUGAAUCUUGUGCCAUUUACCUACUUAAUGAGGUUUGUCUUCAAAUAAUGCCAGAGAAUGGCUCUGCUUUCAUGUUCGAAGAGAGAUCUAUUAAUAAGAUGGUAAGAAACUGUCUUUAUUUAUUUAUUUAUGUGGUCAUAUAUAGUUAUGUAAAGCUAUUUGCUUUCAAUUAUAAGAGACGUCUUGACUCUAAUCCAUGUUUCUUAGUGGUUUAGUUAAUGGCCACAUGUGGGUAUCAAAAUGUUGUGGUAAUUUUGUGUUGGUAUAGCUAUUAUCUUUCCAUGGAAGAUUUUUUUCUCUCUCUCAGGUUUAGUUCUUUGUUUUAAUUCUCAGGUUGUUGGCAUUCUCUCUUCAUGCACCAUCAAAAGUGUGUUCUUGUAGACACUCAUGAUGUUGGUAAUAACUGUAAGGUCACAGCUUUUAUUGGAGGUAUAGAUCUUUGUGAUGGCCGCUAUGACACACCUGAUCUUGAAACUGUGUUUAAGGAUGAUUUUCACAAUCCUACAUUUCCUGUGAGUUUAUGAUUAUUCGCUGGUUGUUUCAAGCUAUAAUCCUAAUUCCUUAUUUACUUUUGAUUUGUUUCUAUUUCUACUUCCUCAGGCUGGUACUAAGGAUCCAAAACAGCCUUGGCAUGAUUUGCACUGAAUGAUAGAUGGGCAUGCGGUCAAUGCAAGAAGGACGUCAUUGUAAGGAGGACAUAGAGAACAUGACAUGGAAAUGGCAACAAUAGUCUAGAGUAUUGGAUUAAACUUUGCUAGGGCGGAUAAUGACCAAGAGAUCUUCCUCUUCCAACCUCUUCUUCUAUGAACUACAAAGUGAUGAUUUCAAGGUAAAAGUUAUGGCUGAUGGCACGUGAAUGCUUUGUUUAGGCGGUAAGAUUUAGAAAAGAAAAUUUGUUUGAUCAAGUUAGUUGAUUGUGUUUGGUAGAAUCUGUGAUUGUCGAUAGGAGAAGUUUGUUUCUCUUUGCCCCUUAUCUCAUAAAUUAGUACUCUUGUUAUUUAAGAGUCGUUGAUGUAUUUAUAUAAGAUUUGGUUUGGAUUAGUCUUUUGUAAGGACUUUGUUUUUAAUGGAUUUUCUAUGAAAUAAAAAUAUAUUUAAAUAUAUAUUUUUGACCAGAUUUAAUUUAUAUAAAAAUAUAUCAAAUAUAGAAUUCAAAACGUGUCAAUUUUAAUUGAAAAAAAUAGAAUCGAGAAAAUGCUAUAACAUAAUAUAUCGUGGCAUAUUUAAUGAGCUACAAUUGAAUCGAAUAUAGCAUUUAAUUAACGUUAUGGUAGUGCAACUUAUAAUAGCAUUCCAAAAAAUGCUAUCGUAGGGGAAACAUCUACCAUAGCUGCCGAUGUCAUAGCAUUUGUGAUUUCGCUAUCUAUAACGUAAGAUAGCAGAUGUUUUGCGCUAUCAAUGAACAAUUUUCUUGUAGUGCAAACUCCCAUCAUCACAUUCUUUACGAAUUACUCGCUCUUUUUUUUUUUUUAAGAAUACUUGGAUCGUAAUUGUUGCAUAUUGAGUUUGUAUUUCUUCCGUUUUUAAGUAUUUUUUGGUUGGGCUUCCGUUUUUAAAUAAAUGAUGUAUUGGUUGCGCAUGUAGUAAAACUAUGAUUAAACUAUGGGAAAAAUGUCGUUAAAAUCCUCAACUUAUUCAAAACGUUGAUUUAAAUCCUCAACUCAUGACGAAACGAAAUAAAUAUCAAACUUAUGUUGACUUUCCAAAUAAAUAUUAAACUUAUGUUGACUUUCCAAAUAAACACCAAACUUUCAUUGACUUUCCAAAUAAAUAUCAAACUUCCGUUGACCUGACCAUAUUAGGUACGACGUUAAGUGGGUUAAUAAAUCCUCAACUCAUGACAAAACGAAAUAAAUAUCAAACUUAUGUUGACUUUCCAAAUAAAUAUCAAACUUAUGUUGACUUUCCAAAUAAAUAUCAAACUUCCGUUGACCUGGCCAUAUUAGGUACGACGUUAAGUGGGUUAAUAGAUCUCGUUAACGGAGGUAAUUUUUUGUUAACAUAUAUGUUAAUUGAUAACGACAUUGUUUCAUAUAACAACAAAACGACGUCGUUUUGUAGUAAGGAUUGAAUUAAAUCCCUAAAGUCAAUCUUAGAUCCCCAAAUCGAGCAAAAUCCAUAACCCUAAAUAGAGUAUGAUUUGAAACUCGGGAUUGUAUUGAACAGUUACGACAAAACAACGUCGUUUUAUGUUUAGAAGGAAUACUUGUUAGUGUUUUGAUCAACAAACGAACUAUGUUUUAACAGAGUAUGAAGAACAAAACCAAAAUGAAAAAUAGAGUAUGAAGAAACUUGAUCUUUGAUAAGAUAAAAUGUAUUACACACAAUGAUGUUAUUGAGUUUGACUCGAUCUACUUAUACAACACGAAACAACGUGUACGUACAUGUGUUAAUCGAAAAGACACAACUUUACGAACAGACACAACUAUACGUACGUACAUUCGUGACUUUUACGUAAAUAACUAACUUAUAUGAAUACGACUUUAUGUUAUAUGACUUAGAUGAUAUUUGAUUAUAGUUCAACAAGACUGUCAUUUUUAAUUAGCGGGUCUGUUAACAGAAAAUUAAUCCCGUUAAAAUUGUCUGUUAACUCACUUAACGUCAUGUCUAAUAUGGCCAAAUCAAUGAAAGUUUAGUGUUUAUUUGGAAAGUCAACAUAAGUUUAAUAUUUAUUUGGAAAGUCAACAUAAGUUUGAUAUUUAUUUUGUUUCGUCGUGAGUUGAGGAUUUAAAUCAACGUUUUGAAUAAGUUGGAGAUUUUAAUGACAUUUUUCCAAUUAAACUAUCUACAUAAUAUAAUUAUGACAUUUUUUUAACCAAAACCUUUUGGAUCUUAGAUCCAUAAUCUUCUCGGAACGAGACCAAAUCCGGUUAAUCAAAUCCAUUUUCCGUUGUCGAUACUAAAACUCCAAAUCUUGAAAGUUCUCCUACUUAGCUGAUCAGUACACCAGUUAAAGUGUUGACACUUGACACCGUAUCUUUCAAUUAUGUAAUUAUUUUCAAACUAAUAAAACGUAAAAAUUAGCAAAGACUGGCUUGAUUUCAAGAAAACCCAUCACACUAAAUUCACCAGCACAAGAAUAUGUGUAAAUAAUCACAUUAGUUUGCACACACAAAAAAACAAUUAUGAAACCAACCAACAAAAACCAAGCCCACUUGAGAGAGCAUAGUUAAGAAAUCACCAUCAUGUCCCUAUACGAUGGAAACUACCAUGUCAUCGUCCCGCCGGGAAACAGCCAUCGGCGACGGCUGCUCAUCAAGGAGUAUUGAUUGUCUACAAGUGGGGCAAGAGGAACGUGAGAGCAACCAAGUAUCGAUGCACCUCACGUGGAAGCCAUGGUUACAUUUAGGCAAAACCCUAACUUUUUCCCCGUCUUCGAAAUCUCCGAGACAGAUCAAACACUCCGUAGCUUUCAUGUCAAUGAUUCCUGAUCCGUACAAUCCCACGGGAAUUUGUUUCAACGCCUGUUUCUUGAGCCCUGUGGCAGACGCUAAACGUCUUGAAUUUGCGUUUGCGUUUGAAGCGUUUGCGACUUGAUCAUCCGAAGUGAAUCUCCGAGUUAUGCGUAGUACACAUCGCAAGGCAGAGUUGAGGCUUAGAGCACAGAUUAAAGCGCAGAGUAAAGCAGCUAAAAUGAUGACCAUGUUAGUGUCGAAGUAGGUAUCGUUUAUGCCUCCUUUGGGUUUGGGGUUUGCGUCGGCGGGUGCGUUUGCUUGUGGCUCAAGUAGCAACCGACCCAUCUUUUGAGGUACGCUUGAGAAGCAGAGGAGAGAACAAAACUUGAAUUACUUCACCUUCAAGAUUCGUGUCGUUGUUGGUCAAAUCGAAUGACAAAAGAGAUGGAGAAGAGAGAAUCGAUAUCCCUCACCCUCAUGUUCUUAAAAAACUCUCAAUUAAUUAAUCUCUGCACUCUUCAUUUCUGAGCUUUGAUCUUUUUUUCUGAUUUGUUUCUGUCUCGUGAGUCGUGACUUGUGUGUAAAGAUGAGGGGAGGCAAAAAUAUUUAUGUCAAGAUUGUGAUAAAAAAGAGUCAUAAAUGAAUUUAUGGGCGACUCUGUUAUAGAGAGAUGAUGAUGUGGUUGGACCAAGAUUUUUUUUUUUUUUAAGUAGAAAUUUUUUGGUUUGAAAAAAUUACUAUUAUUUAUAUAUAUAUAUAUAUAUAUAUAUAUAUAUAUAUAUAUAUAUGUAGCAAGUGAAUGGUCACUUUUAAUUUUGUUUGUAUUGGUUGAUGUCAAUUUUUUUUUUUGCUCUACUAUACCAAUGUCAAUUUCUAGCCCUAUAUAUUGGUCGAGAAUCAGUGAUUUUCAUAUUAAUAGAAGCAAAAUAAACCUUUGAUUUACAAUUUCGUACAAAAAAACACAAAUUAGAGCAUGUAAUGAGCCACUAUAUAAUUUAUACCGUAAUUUGUAUAUCCUAAAAGUACUUAUGAUCUCUAUAUGUGGGACACUAUUUUUGUUCAAUUCUUUGUUGUAUACUUGUAUCGGUGUGUAUUAUUAAUUUUGAUAAAUAUAAAGGAUAGAGCAAAGAAGAAGACAAAUAAGAAAACGAUUAGUUUAGUAGAUAUCAGAAUUGACAACUAACAAACUCAUUAUUAGUGGUUUUAAGAACUUUGGAAUCAAGCUAAAAGGAAUUAAUUCUCAGAUAACAAAAAACUACAAAUGAGAUUUGAUGUAGAAAAGAAAUAUUGGAUUAUAUAAACUGUAUGGUUGGGGUAUCAUAUUCCCAACUAAUCAUGAAGAAUAUAAUUAACAUAUCAUAUACAUAUAUAUUCCAUGGUUUUGGUUUUCUUGUGGGUAGACACAUCUUUAAUAGCCAAUUUGGUUUUGGUUACCAACUUGGUUUUGUGUAGUCGGUCAAGGCCAAGAGAUUUUACAUUUCUUUGUUCAUUGCAAAUAUCAUAUGAUAGUUUGUAAGAAAAUUCGAAGAUUAUCUAGAUUCCGAUGAUGAAAUCUUAUGUGUAUAUAUGUAGUUGGUUUAUGAAUCGAAUGGUCCAUACAAAAUUCAUGUGGCACUUACGGGUCCACAAGUAUAAGAAGUCCAAUUCAAACACACUAAUUAAUGUAGUAAUACAAACGAAAUUAAAUAGAAUUACGAGUUCACGCAAAGGUCACAACACUUGUCUCUCUUAGCUUCAAUAGUUCCAUUAGUUGAUAACAACACCUCAACGUGAGAUCCAUCAAACCCCAUACACGAGUCUAUUGUGUGUAUUUACUAUGUCUAUUUAUCAAAUUCAAAUACUUGGUUAGAAGUUGCUAUGGGUCUCAUAUAUUCAAAAAAUUUAAGGAACUCGUAUUUAAUUCGUAUAUGCACAGAUAACAUCUAUAUUUAUGUCUAAUUCGAGUUGUUAGUUGGUAGCCAUUUUAAUUUAUACUAGACAUACAAAUGAAAUAAAAAGUCGAUGAAUUAAAAAGAUGAAUUCAUGAUAAGAUUUAUAUAUACAAGCAAAUGAGUACUGUAUAAAAUUUGAAAUAUAACAUAUAUACAACCAAGUUGAUAUAUUUUACAGGCGAAAUUUUUUAUUGUAGAAAUGGUUGGGAAUCAUGUCCACCUACAAAAGAGUGUGAUAUCAGUAAUAUUCUUUUAAUUAAUAUAAUAUAUAGUAGGUGGACAUGCAGAUUGAAGACUAUAUUAUCAUAGAAUUUUUGUUUUUUUUUUUUUAAUUUUUUAAUAUUAUCAUAGAAUUCAUUUUAGUUAUAUAUUAUACAUAUUGAAAAUGAUAGUAGUUGAAAGAAACAUGAGAAAUAAAAAUGUGAUUCGUAGGAAUGCGUAAUAGAGUUUGAAUUAUCCUCUUGGAAUUGACCAUGUAUAACAACAGAAAUGACUACACCUACUCAUUCAUAUAGUAGUCAUUACUUGUAGACUUGCAGCAUUGUUUUUUUUUCCUUACUUCAGACUUGUAGCAUUGUUUUUUUCUGACGUCAGACUAGUAGCAUUAUUAACUAAUCCAUAUUUUUCUACAGCAUUAUUAAGUCAUUAGCUAGUCCAAUUGUGUAAGUGGGAUUCUUCUAUUGAUAAUUUCGUAUUAAGCAAUAACUUAUGUGACGUGGACACGUGACCUAACGAUACUUGGUAUAUGGGCUUUUAACGUUGGGCUGGUCAAAUCCAUCUGAAAUGUGAGAAUCUUGUUCUGCACAGCGACGUCGUUUAGCGAACAUAAGCCAAUUUCAAGCUUCUCUAUUGAGUUUUUUUGACAGUGGUGUUAAGCUUUAGACAAAGGCAGAGUUAAUUUAGUUAAACAAAUAAACCAUCUUAUAUUCAUGAUAUGACGUUUAGUUAUACUACAAAUGGUGAAUAACAAGAAAAACUAAACACAAACAAGUAAUAGCAUCCUCAGAAUCACCAAAGUUAAGCUCAUGAAUCUUUAUCGUUGGUUAAGCUCCAUGAGAGUCUGCUUAUAACAUUUUCGUCCACUAUUUUGUAGUGGUGAGACAACCGCCUGUGUAUCGUCCCGCAACACUUGUCUACUUUGCUUUGAUAUUUACUGUACAAAGCGGGUAUUGUUACAGAUAGGAUUGUCCCUGUUCACACCAUACAAAGAAUAAACUACAUAUAAGACUUUGGUUUCACUGAGUUAAAAACAGCAAUGUCGCGGGAACUAAAACGAUAUCAACAAGCAAGAUAACGGAUUAGAAGGUUAUGAAUAGGGGAAGAAACUAAAUGAUUAAAAACCAUAAAAGCUUUUUCUCUCAUUUGCAUUUUAGGAUCAAGUCACUAACCAAUAUAAACAAGAGUGCAGAGAGAUAUAUAGCUACCAAUGGCAGAAAGAAGCCACAGACAAAUCACCACCUGCUAAAGAAAAACCGUCAGACCAAUAGUUCAGAUGCUUAACGGUUCCCAUGUCAUUUCACUCAAUUUCAUUGUGAGUUUAUGAAAGGGUUCGCUUCGUAACCUUGAAGAAGAGUCGAAAAUCAUUGCCAACUGUGACAUCAUGAGCCAUUACAAGCAAGUGAUUGAGUUUUAUACGGAACGAAGCUGCUGCACUAUUCACCAUUUCCUCUGAUAGAACAAGCUCUGGCAACGAAUGCAACUGUCUGCUUAUUAAGAGAUAACAGGUAGACAUCAUCAGUCACAUAACAGCAAAGAAUUAUGAAAAAAGACUAGUGAAAAGUAGAGCGCACCUUUUCCUAAAAGCAGAAACCCGGGCAUGGACGAACGAUAUUAUGAUCCCGAUGAGUAAGACAUCUGAAGAAACAGAUAAGAAAGGCAACCCGGAAAACUCGAAUAUAAGCCAGGCUACAGUUGAUAUAAUGAUAACACCCAAAGAAAGAUGUCGUCUCCUCCAUAAGAGCAAGUCAGCAGCUGCAUUAAAGAACAAAGCCAUACAAAAUCAUAACCCUCGCAAAUGUCCUAAGAACUUCACAAACAGUAGCAUUUUGCUGGACAUAUGAACUCAUCUAUUUCUCAUUCAAGAUCAAACCUAAACCUAACUUUCACCUGCCAAGGUUUUCAUCUUCUACUAUAACCAAAAUGCUAAAUGUACUUGCACACAUGACGAUUUCACAACCCACCAAAAUCAGAAACCCUAACUAUUCCAACUAUCAUCCCCAGUUGGCAUUUUACGUUCUGUAAAACCGAGAAAUUUCAUCGGAAACUACCCAAAUGAUGAUAAAUAAAAAAAAAACACAAAUUCGGAAAAAAAGAACUCGCCUUUGCCACCGCCCAUGAACUGAUGAACCGUAACUUGCCGACCCAACAAUCGAUAAUCCGAUGACGAUCCUCCUUCAUUUCUUCCAUCGCAAUCACCAUCGAUGUCACUUAAACUGUCCAUCGGAGAAUUCCAAAAACCCGAAUUGACACAAAUUCUCCGACUUCCAGGGUCCAAUUCCGAUCUCAACAACUCCUGAUCGAAAAAUUCUCACCUUAAAUCUGCGAUCUCAGAUUUUCCGAGAAGAAUGAUGGUUUCUGAGCCAGCAAAAGCAACUAGAUUAAUCGGAGAAUGACAGCGAUUGGGUGGAUUAUCAAGGAGGAACCAAAUAAAAUUGGCUUUUACAUGCAUCGAUUUUCAACAUUUGGAAUUUCUCCGAUUCUAGUCAACUUUCUUCAUUUCUUUAUAUUUUCCUCGAAUCAAAAUUAUACAGUAAAUAACAGCCGUCACAAAAACAAAAACCAAAAAAAACAAAAAUCUUAAGGCCUUGGGCUUACUAGUCCAAUAUUUUGGCCCAUUAUAAGGACGCAGAACCACGAUCACAUGUCUACGUGUCAAACUGUUACUUAAUUUAUACGUGACAGGCAGUGAAUUUAUCGUUCCCUUCCACAAACACAUUUUCAUUUUUGAGGAAGGAGAAAGAAUCUUCUUCACUGUGUGGUCUAUCAAUCAAUCCAAAGCAACAAUGGCGAUUCGUUGUGUAGCGAGUAGAAAAACCCUAGCCGGCUUGAAGGAGACAUCAUCGAGGCUCUUAGGAUUCAGAGGGGUUCAGACUUUUACGCUUCCUGAUCUUCCUUACGAUUAUGGCGCAUUGGAACCGGCGAUUAGUGGAGAGAUCAUGCAGAUUCAUCACCAGAAGCAUCACCAGGCUUAUGUUACUAAUUACAAUAAUGCUCUUGAGCAGCUGGAUCAGGCUGUGAAUAAAGGAGAUGCUUCCACUGUUGUUAAGUUGCAGAGCGCUAUCAAAUUCAACGGCGGAGGUGUGUGUCUGACUUUUAUUUUUAUUUUCCGAUCUGAUCGAUUGGUUUUUGUUUAGAUGAAAUUUUGUUUGAUCAUAUUUCUAUGAGUUUGAUCGAUUGGUUUGUGUUAGUGUUAAAAAUAAUAAAAUGAAGAUUUAACCCAUAUGUCUAAUAUUGUUAGUGUUAAAAAUAAUAAAAUGAAGAUUUAACCCAUAUUAAAACGGCGGAUUAAUAAUAUUUUAAAUUUUCCAAUCUCGAAUUUAAGAGUUUGAUCGAUUGGUUUGUGUUUAGAUGAAAUUUUGUUUGAUCAUAUUUCUUUAUAUGAGUUUGAUCGAUUGGUUUGUGUUGAUUUAGUUAGAGAAAUUUGCUUUGAACAUAGAAGUUGAUGAUUAAUUUUGAUGACUAUAGUUUGAAAUUAGUAUUGUUGCUUCUUGAGCUCCGAACCAGUUGGUUGAUAGAAGGGAAAUUUCGCAGAGAAACUAUUGGAAAUGAAUUGAGUUUUUUUUUUUGUGGUAGAGAAUGAAAAUUGAUGGAGUGUAUUUUUAUUGUGCAGGUCAUGUCAACCAUUCGAUUUUCUGGAAGAACCUUGCUCCUGUCAAUGUGAGCUUGUGUUUUGGGUUUCUGUGUAUUUCUUUGAUUUCGUUGUUCUGAAAUUAAUGGUUUGUUUUAAUAUAAAACAGGAAGGUGGUGGAGAGCCACCAAAAGGAUCUCUUGGCAGCGCCAUUGAUACUCACUUUGGCUCUCCUGAAGGUCUGGUGAAAAAGAUGAGUGCUGAAGGUGCUGCUGUGCAAGGCUCCGGAUGGGUGGUCUGUACUCUAAUACUCUAAUGUCACCUUUUAAUUUCAUCUGCACACAUUGUUCACUUUGGUGCUUUACUUAUAAUGACCAUGGUCACUGAUUUACUUGUUUCUGUUGAUUGAUUCAGUGGCUCGGACUAGACAAAGAACUGAAGAAGCUUGUGGUUGACACAACUGCCAAUCAGGUAACUUAUCCAUGAUCAGGAAUGCGAUAUUGAAUGUGUUCAAAAGAUUUUAGCGUGGCCGCGUUCUUGAUAUUCAUAAACAUAUGUGAGAUAAAUGGAUUUUAAAGAAAAAGAUUUUGUUUGGGGUGCAGGAUCCAUUGGUGACAAAAGGAGGAAGCUUGGUACCUCUGGUGGGUAUAGAUGUUUGGGAGCACGCCUACUACUUGCAGGUAACAACACUUUUGAUACAUUAAGACUCAUGAGUUAACUUAUAAGAUUAAGCUCUUUAAUCACUCUUUAUUUCUCUCAUCAGUACAAAAAUGUGAGGCCGGAGUAUCUGAAGAAUGUAUGGAAAGUGAUCAACUGGAAAUAUGCAAGCGAGGUUUAUGAGAAGGAAUGCAACUGAAUCGUUACACGAUGACAUAAGGAGAGGAACCAGUUCCAGCUCGGCUUUGUUUUUAAGGUUGUCUGAAACAAACAUACAAUGUCUCUUCUUUGGUUUUUGAGUUUUACUCAACUGAGUUGUGUGGUACGUUGUUUUACAAUAAAAGAUUUCCAAGAAUAACUGUUAUGUUUGUUAGAAAGCUAUUGUUUCUUCUAUUAAGAAAACAAAACGGAGUCCCAAGUCCUUACAAUCUUAUUGGUUUAAUUACAUCAUUUCAAUAAACAAUCACUAAUUUCUUCGUUUUAAUUAUUCGACCCAUAUAUGACAGGGAUAUUAUAACGACGAAAUUUGAGAAAUAAUGCCAUACACUAGUGUAAUAAAAAUGCACUAUCUUGUGUCUGCGACAGACUCUGCGUUGUGGAAAAUGGAUCAUGGUCAAGAGGUCUCAUAAAACACGCGUCAAUUCAAUUUACAUAUUUUGGACUAACUUUUGAUCCCUUACGCCUUGGCCCCUAUAAUUUUAGCUCUUUCUUGGAAGUUACCCCAAAACAAAAACAAUGUCAAUUUCAAUGGUAGCCUUGACAACUUUUAUGCGUUUUAACUUAAAGACUUUCGUAGUCAUAAAACUGAUAAAUAAUCAUAGGAAUUAGUAAAACUGAUUAACAUUUAUCAAACAAAUAUUGAUAAUCUGAUUUUUGAUCAUUUCGAUUAAAAAUGACCAAAUAAAAUCCUAAUUUUUCGUAAACUACUAGAGUAAUUUUCUGUAAUACAUGUAACAUUUACAACAAUCUCUAUAUGAAAAUGAAAAAUCAAAGAAUCUCUAAAGGACAAAAAAAAGUAAGAAUUAGGACAGAAAACUCGACAAAGAACAGUUCUAAGUCUUGACGUCGUUAGUUUUCUUGCUGGGCCCAGACCCCGGACGAUUCCCUUUCGGAAGAGCAUUCAACACCAAGGAGCCGAACUUUCCGGCGACAACUUCAGGAACAAAAGAAGAGUAUUCCGUCUUCGUCUCCUGCUCCUCCGCAACCCACCGCCGUCGACUUAGAAACAGGAGGUAUCUCUCCGGAGAAUACGACGUCAUCAAUGACCGGAAGAAACUCUCCGGGUAAGAUCCUGGCCGUCGAUAGAGAGACGGAAAUGAAAAGAAGAAUGAUCAAAAGUAAAGAUCUGUAAAUCGCCAUUCGUAAAAGUCUUUUUGUUGCGGACUUUUUCUUGUUUUUGGAAUUAGUGAAGAAGUGGGUGAAGAUAAAAGAGAGAGUGUAUAGAAAUAUAUAUACGGAGUUUGUGAAGGUGAGAAGAAAGGUCAACGGGAGUUGGAAAACUUACGCGGCAAGUGUCGGACUUGAAAAAAUAGAGAGUUGAAUAAAUCGGUCCUUUCCAUUGAGUCCAACUAAAAUAUCAUUUUAUUUGUAACGAGUUACAAUUUUAGUUUUGUUUUUAAAAUUUCUAAACGUGUGUGGUAAGCUAAAAAAAAACAUUAAAAAAAUACAAGAUUCGGUUAGUGUAUAAUACUGUAAUGCAUAUUUUCUAUUCGUUUGUUAUUCUACCAUUAAUUUUCUGUUUUACGACUCUGCUAAUUCAAUGUUUACUUACUAAAAAACACAAAAUAAUACAAAUGCUUACUAUAUUGACGGUUUUUUUUAAAUGAUUUUUCCAACUUUUAUAUAUUUAAUUUUUUACAAAUUAUAUUUUACAAUAUGUUUUCUUAUUAGUUGUAUUCAUUUUAUUUAAUGGUGUUUUAUGUAAAAAUGAUAAACUAAAAAAAAAUUAUGUUUUAUAUUUAUGUGUAAAAACCUUAAAUAUCACUUAAGAUGAUACAUUAGGAGUAUAUGCUUACCAUAUUAAAUAUUUUUUUGAUAUAUAAAAUUAUGAAUUUAUUUUUAAGUUAACUUUCUGCUCCUUUUUUCCUUUUUUAUGUGCAAGUUAACUUUCUGCUUUUCACAAUCAACAAAGAUGCUAUAUUACAAAUAGGGUUUAAUGUUUUAUUUAUAUUAAAAUAAAAUAUUACAAAACAAAGAGUGAAAGAGACCAUUGAGAAACAGAAAACGUUUAUAGAUGAGUCGGAAAUAUGAUACCCAUUUAUUAUUGUGCUUAUUUUGUUUUGUCAAACUUAUUGUGCUGAAAUUGAUAGAUUAUUUUAUAGAGUAUGAUAAUGUAUUACAUAAGGACAUUUUGAAUAACAUUCACGAGUUUCAUCAUCAACUAUACUAUUAACAAGAACAUUAAACAGGUAUGCAACUAUUGCAUCUAUUUUGAAAAGUUUGUGUAUUUUGUUGUGUGGAUCAACAAACUAUAUAUACAAACAUUUUCAUGAAACUAAAAACAUUAGUAAUAAGGGAAAAAGCUGAACAAAACAUUUUCUUCAAUACCAAUUUGUUCAAAUAAAUGAAUGUACUACAUAUCAAAUAAAAAAAAAAAAAAAGAAGAUCACCAAAAGCCGAAGCCCACCGUCACUUUUUAAGUCAUUAAUGGAGUUUCCAACUGCUACCAACAAAAGACGAAGCCCACCGUCACUUUUGACCGUGUCCUUCUUCUUGUUCCCCAAGUCUCUCCCAACACGCUCACACUCUCACCGUCUCACGCACCAAAUACAGACAUACACAUGCUUUUACACUUAUAUUAACGUGUGUGUGAAUAUAUAACUUUUGUCUCUUUAAUUAGAUGAGCCAAAUUUUCAACAUUCGUUUGUAGAUAACACGAAUGUCAUUUAUUAGAUGUUGCGGUGCAACUUUAUGGUUGCUCAUGAGAGUUGAAAACAUGACUUUUAUGCAUAGAAAGCGGGACAUAUUUUCUUCUUGUUUAAGCCUAAAGGUAAAGAAAAAGCAGAGUUUAUAUAGUCUUGAUAGAUUCUCUAAAUUUUUAUGGGGUCGUUCGAAAACACAUUGACCAUAGGCCAAGAAUAUUGGAACAUUUACAUGAGCUAAGUGCUUUUCUUAUGAAAAAUCUCCCUAGAUCCGAUCACCAAUUCUGAUGAAAACCAAAGCCAAGUGUUGUGUUGACUCGUGCCAUCACUUUACCGAAUAACAAAACAGUGAAAUACUUCAUCUAAGUGCAUGUAUAUAGACUUGUAGACAUUGACAAGAAGAACCACAGGGUUCAUUACAACAAGGUGGAUUAAUACGCAGAAGAGGUUUUGUAGUCAUCAGUAGCUUUAGAAUAUACAGAAGUCUAGAUUUUAUUCGAAAUUAUACAUAUAUAUGCUAUACUGAUUUUCAGGUUCCACGGAGGGCCCGAACACGUUCUUGAAUCAACUUCCUUUCCCAAUCGGCAAUGUCCUCGAAUGCGUUCUCAGGGAGACUCUCAAAGGGCUCUUUCCAGGGAUCGUUCUUAGCCAGAUCAUAUGUUGCGCCGCGGAUGGCUCCUUUGUUAGGCCCACAUGGACGCUUUGAUACCAAAUUGUCAUAAGCCGUGUUAAGCUGUUCGAAGCACAGAAUCAGAACGCAAAAAAAGUUUGAAACUUUCUUGUAGUGAAGUUGAGUGAGACUUUUUAACUUACGUUCAUGUCGCAGAACCAAUACAUAUAAGCAAUCGAAACCCCUGGAGCUCUUCCCAGUCCGGCUGAACAAUGCACGUAGACUCUUCCUUUACCUUCUGAAACCGCCCAUUCCAAAGAAGAAACAGCUUUUGGAAGUUGGCUUCUCAACGAAAGUGGAUCGAAAUCUUUAGCCUAACAGAUUUGUAAACAAGAAAUCCACAAUUGAUUAAAAUCUCAGCUCCACAUGAUUCCACAGAUUGACAACACAAGAAAUGUUCCUUACGGGCCUUCUCAUGUGACGGAUUCCAAGCUCCUUAGAUCUUCGAACAAUGGAAUCCAAAUCGAUUCCCCAAUAGUCAAUGUCCUUGUCCUGCUGCAAGUUAAGUAUGUAAGCAACAUUCUGUUCCUGCUUCAAGUGAUCUAUGUCCUCAGGUUUCUGUGGCUGCGACCCAACGAUAAGUUCAUCUCUUAUCAAUGUAUAGUUCAUACCUGAAAACAGGACAAAGACUCAUCAUAUACAACCUUAGAUCCACAAGAAACACUAAAUCCUUGCAACACAGUCAUCAAUUUUCAUAAAUCUAUCUCUGUCCAUGAUUGUUCAUCCAAUGUGUUACCCAAAAUUCACUGUCAUAGAUGCUUUUAGCUUCAAACAAAAAAACUAAAAUCUUGUAUCAAUUUUCAUAAAUCUAUCUCCAAGUUCAAGAAACCAUAGCUUCCAGAGUUCUUGGAACUCAAACAACUAGACUCAGCUUCCAUGAGAACACUCUCUCAGUUCUAAUCUAAUCAGAGAACAAUAUUCUAAAAGGAAUUUCAUGCACAAUUUUUGAAAAAAUGUAAAUACCCAGAUCAUGAUGAUAUUCAUAAGGGCUCCUCAUCAAUCUCUUCAUAGCUGUAUUGUAAUCCUCCAUUUUGUUCUUGGAGCUAAGAGAAACCCCAUUUGUUCUUGGAUUUUCUCCAGAGAUUUUGCAGGAAACUCCCGCCAGAUUUCUGGGAAAUCUCAGAUCAAUUGACGAUUUCUUGUUGAUAGAAGUGAAGCAAGAAGAAAUCUCAUUUCCUCGGGAAUAUAUAGUCACCGAGAAAAUACAGCUUUUGGUUCCAAUCACACUCAUCGUCCUCUUGCUCUCUCUAUCUCUCGUUCUUGAAAUCUGCAAUUUGCAAUAAUUAUGUCACACAAACGAAAACGACACUGUCUUAUUGGGCUUUUAUUAAAUGGGCUUUAAAACAAUAAAUUAUGGCCCAUUAGUAUAACCCUAAUUCACUUAAAUAAAAGUUAAUCCCCUGUACUUAUCGUAACGAGCAAAGCCUAGAGAUCCUUCUUCUUCGCCGGAACUGGUACGUCGUCUGCUUUCCCCAAUAAGCCGGCGAAAAUGGUGAGUUAAUAUUCUUUUCAUGUCUCUGAAUUGAAUCUCUCCAGUUUGAAAACAUAUUUUUCAUUACUCUAGACCAUUAGAUAGAGAGAUUUUUAUGUGAUUCUAUCUAUCUAUUUGGAUGUAGUGAUUAAUUGAACUUUCAUUGCUAGAUUUUGUAGAGAUUGUUCUAUCACCUGGGAAUCUUGUUUCAUUUCUAUAGUCUGAGCUUGUUUUAGAUUGUUUCGUUCUUUCAACUUAUCUUCUUCUUCUUUUUUUUUGGAUUUCAGACCAAGAGAACGAAGAAGGCUGGAAUCGUCGGCAAAUAUGGUGAGUAUUCAGAAACCAAUCCUUGGUUAUAGUUUAAAGUAUGUAACUUUAGAAUUCUCUUGAUUCAUAGGUUGAAACCUUGUUUCCUUGGUCAGAAGAAUUCGUUUCAGAUCAUGAACAGAGAAGUGAAAUAUCUCUAACAUAUAGAUUUACUGAAUUCUCAAUCUGAAUCUUUUGAUUUUGUGCCUUUGCAAAGGUACACGAUAUGGUGCCAGUCUUAGGAAGCAGAUCAAGAAGAUGGAAGUGAGUCAACACAGCAAUUACUUCUGCGAGUUUUGCGGCAAGGUAACUCUCAUUGCCAUCUCUUAAGUAAAUUAUUGUCAUUGAAUUCAAUACGGCUUUAAGUCUGCGAAGCUUCUUUGAGUUUUGCAUUUUGUGAAAAGAAGUUUUGGUUAUGUUGAUUUCUGAUGCAGUACGCCGUUAAGAGGAAAGCUGUUGGCAUUUGGGGUUGCAAAGAUUGCGGGAAAGUGAAAGCAGGCGGUGCAUACACUAUGAACACGGCUAGUGCUGUGACAGUUAGGAGUACCAUUAGGCGUUUGAGAGAGCAAACCGAGAGCUAGAUCGGAAAAAAAUCAUAACGGCCAUCACUGAGAAGUCAUUUUUGUUCGAUCAAAUACUGAGUUCCAUAGGCUUUUUCUUUUGUUACUUUCUUGAUUCAUAUUAACUAAGAGAAGAAGAGAAGUGUCCUAUUUGACUCCUUUUUGUUUCUAUAUUGAACCUUUCAAUUCCUAUUCAAUAUGAAGUCAAAUUCAAAAACUAAGCUCAAGUGCACCUUUACCAUUGUCAAUGUACUCGAGAUACAGGUUUCUACAGUUUUCUUUAUUUUCUCCCCAACAUUUUUACACUUUUCCUUUUCAAAAAAUCUACAGGAGCAACAAAUCAAUAAUGCAAUCACUUGUCCUUUCUUCCUAGGAAAGAAAUCAAAAAAAUCAAUAGUAACAAAAAUGUAAAAUCAAAUCAAAGAAAAAUAUCUAAACGUUAGUAUCAAUCUCACUAGCUUUGACAACUCCAUUAUUAUCCUCUUCCUCUUCUUCUUCUUCAACUUUCUUUUUCAAAAACCCUAAUUUCACCAAUCCUUCUUCUCCCCAAUCCCAUAGAUGCAACACCACGUAGCUCCCAAUCCCUCCGAUCAAUCCAUACGCGACGGAGUACGUCAACGGCAUUAGAAUCAUUGUCACGAAUGCCGGAAUCGCCUCUCUCAUAUCUUCCCAAUUGAUCUCCGUCACUGAUUUCAUCAUCAUCACUCCAACUAAUAUCAACGGCGGACCAACCGCCCAAGCCGGAAUCGAAGCUAGCAACGGCGUGAAAAACAUCGCUAAGAAGAAAUAAACCGCCACCGUAAUCGCAGUCAAUCCCGUUCUUCCUCCUUCACGUAUCCCCGUUGACGAUUCGAUGAAAACCGUCACUGGAGAUGUACCAAGCAACGAUCCGAUCACAAUCGCAGACGCGUCGGACAUAAACGCGAAAUACUGUCCGGCGAAAUCUCCUUUCUCGUCGACGAAUCCGGCGAAUCUAGCCAUGGAAUAAAGCGUUCCCGUCGUAUCCAAAAUAUCAACGUAGAGGAAUGUCACCAGAGCUUCCCAGAAAUGUCCUUUGUUUAUCCCGGAGAAGCUUAAAGCUCCGGCGGUGUGUUUGAUGACGUGUACAUCAACGAUCUUUUUGAAAUAAUCAUGAGCUGCGUCACCGGCCGAUGUGUUUGGAAACGCCGUUACCUCUGUGUUACGGAACCACGAAACGGCCGUUACGAAGACGAUCCCGUAGAUCAUCGCUCCUUUCACGUUCUUCACCAAACAAUAAGCUAUGAUCACGAAUCCGACGAUACCAAGCCAAAACGUUGGACUCUCCAUUCGUCCGUGAAGACACAUAAUAUCGCCGGAAACUGAUCCUCCGACGAGUAAACUAACGGUUCCGUUAGCUGACGUUAUAACGGGAGCUAAUGAUAUUCGUGAUGAGGUUGGACAAGCGGCGAGAGUGACGAGUGUUGAAGGACUAUAACCGACUAAACCGAUUCCUUGAUUGUUCUGUAAACCGAUGAAAGCGAGGAAAAGUCCGAUUCCGGCGGAGGAACUGAUUCUGACCGGUUUAGGAACGAGUUUCGCGAGCUUUGCUCUGAAACCUAUGGCGGAGAUGAAGAGAAAGAUCAAUCCUUCGAUGAAAACGGCGGCGAGUGCGGUCCGGUAUGAGAUUGAACCGGAUCCGUGAAAUCCGACGACGGUGUAAGCGAAAUAAGCGUUAGUUCCCAUUCCCGGAGCUAAAGCUAGAGGAAGAUUCGCCAUCAAUCCCAUGAUUACACAACCGAUUAGUGACGCAGCUACGGUGGCGACGAUUAGAUCCUUUCGAAUUCCUUCAACACAUGUGGCGUAACCGGGAUUAACCGGGUUGAAUUUACAGGAAACGUCGGGUUGGAUCAAUCGGAGACCCGGUCCGGUACACUGAGAAGGUUGAAUCGUUGGGUUUGAGCAGAGAGGGAUACAAUCGGAAACAGAGCAAGUUCCACCGGAAUCAGAGAGGAUUGAAGCGUUGACGGCGAGGAUAUAAGCCAUGGUUAAGAAAGUAGCCGUACCAGCACGGAGCUCCGUCGUGAAAGUAGAAUUACGUUCGGCGAGUUUGAACCGUUUGCCAACCCGGCUCGAACCGACGUAGGUGUUGAGCCGGUUUAGUAGCUUGGGCUUGGGUCUAGUAGUAGUAGAAGGUAGUUGUUGUUGUUGCUCCAUUAGAGAGAUCACAGAAGUAAAAGAAAAAUACAAAGUUUUUUUUUAUUUUUUUGGUUACUGGUUUUGUAAUCUAGUGAAGAGAACAGAUUUGCUUAUAUAUAUAUAUAAGCAGCUAUAGAGAUGGUUAAGGGAGCUUUUGAUAUGAUUAGAGAAAGAGGAAAAGAUUCUGGUUAAGAGGAAUGGGAUCUUUAGAGACAAGUAUCUCACAUGUAACCAUGUGUCCACGAUUCUCAGUUUUAUUUGUUUUUAUUUUUGUUACAGGUUUGUAAUAUAAUCUCUGGUCAGAAUUAUUAUAAUUAUAUCUCAUGUAUUCACACGUCUAUUAAGGCAAGACUAUUUUAGACGUUUUUUAUUAAGAUUUCAUAGUUUUAAAUCUUCGAUUAUUAAGUACUGUAGCUUUGUUGUAUAAUAUUAUGAAAUUAUUCAAUGUAGAUUUUUUGUAUUUUGUUCGUAUGUUAAUUAACUAUACAUAUCACAUAUGCAUCAUGAUAUUACUUGUUUAUUAUGAAUUUAUGAUUAUGGUGUGUAUGAAUAUGUAUGUGGCAACUACAAGCAAUUGCGGCCAACAAGGUCACGUUACAAAGUUGGCUACAAAAUACAAAUGUGAACAACUCUUAACUAACAUCUAUUAUAUAUUUGACCGAUUGACUUUUGACCUAUCAAAAACUGUUUUUUUUUUCUUUUUUGGUUAAAUCUAAUUUUCUAGAUAGACGUCACAUUAUUCUGAGUUUUUUAGGAUAUAACUUCGCAAAACUAACUUUGUUUGAUAUUUUUGCAAGCUGAUUUUCGUUUGCAAAUUGAAAGUUUGUUUUCGGAGAAAUUAGAGUGUUCAAAGGCAUUACGGCUUACAACGAUUUUUUUUGACGUAAUGACAUGAUCAUAAAAUUGUAUCAUAGGAGAUGAUAAUUUCCUUUUUUAAAUGGAUCAUCGUUUGAGUCAUUUUGAACUCAAUUUGUUGGUGGGGAAGUCAAAGAUAUCGGUUUGACUACAAUAUCGAGUAAGUUGGUUUAUUUAAUCGUAUCUUAUUAGAAAAUCUCAUUAAACUACACUAAAACAUUUGGUAAAUCACAGGAAAUACUAAACUAAAAGAUUACCAACUCAUUUUUGUAAUAAAAACAAUUACCGGAUUUUUAAAACCAAAAUCCGGCCACUAAGUCUAAAGUCGAUAACAUACUGUAGUAAAUUCUUACUAGUAAUCACUAUUUUUAAAUAAUUUUAUUGUAUGCUUCGAUAUAAUAUUCCUUAACAUAAUCUAAGUAGACGUCACGUCACAUUGAUCAAAAUAUACAGAAUUCAUUCAUUUUCUUCAACAGCACGUGGACAUAAAUAAAUCUGAAGAAAAUUACUCUUUCCAAUUUCUUGAUAACAAAAUGUUUUAGUACUGCCAAUAAAUGAUAUUUUCGCCCGAUCUAUUAUAGUCUUAUCAACAAAUGGUAUUUGAUACGUAAGGCAAAAAUAACUAUACAUAAGAGAAUCAAUCAUCUGUUUAUGUGUAGUUAUUUUGCUCCGAUAUGAAGUAGGUAGAGUUAGGGCCUGACUGGUUUAAAAGCAGCGGUUGCGGUUGCGGUUGCGGGAGUUUGCAGAAGUGGGCGGUUGCGGCUUUAAGCGUUAUCAAGCGUUUUGAACGACUGGUUUAGCGUUUAAAAAUAGGUGCGUUUGCGGGAGUUUUAUGACUGGUAACCCAGCGGAUGCGAUAGCAGUUAAAUAAAAAAAUGACCAAAAUAAAUAAGAAAUAUUACAAAAAAAAAGAAAUAAAAACACCAAUAUAUUAUUAUGAUAAUAUUAGAAAAAUUGAACAUGCUUAAUAAUUAAAACCAUAAAUAAAGUACUAAAUAAUUAUUCAAAAAUAAAGAAAUUUUGUAAUAAGAUAGUACUUUAUGCAUCUGGUUUAACAUCAAAAAUUGCAUCAAGUAAUGGGACAACCUAAAAAAAAAUGACCAAAAUAAAUAAGAAAUAUUACAAAAAAACACCAAUAUAUUAUUAUGAUAAUAUUAGAAAAUUUGAACAUGCUUAAUAAUUAAAACCAUAAAUAAAGUACUAAAUAAUUAUUCAAAAAUAAAAAAAAUUGUAAUAAGAUAGUACUUUAUGCAUCUGGUUUAACAUCAAAAAUUGCAUCAAGUAAUGGGACAAACUGUAAAUAACGUUGAAUUCAAUCAAAAAGCAAGUGAGUUUCUAUUUGAAAAAACAAAUCGAAACAUAUAUUCAAUCAAAAAGCAAAGCAAUACGUAAUGAAAAUAAAAAAAACGAUGUCAUGAAAAAUAUUCAAAAAGUUACACAUGAGGUGAUGAAUGAAUAAAAGGAUAUAUGAUAUUUACAUUUGAUUAUUGAUUUUCAUCAGUUUGGGUGGAAGACAUUGAGAGAACAGAGUUUCAGAAUAUUAUUAGGGUUUCUGAUGAGAACGUGAUACAAAGAUGAAAGAUAUAUAUAUAGGAUUAAUAUAUAUUAUAAUAAUUAUAAGUAAAUGUUUGAUUUUUUUUUUUAAUCCAACCGCUACCGCCCGCAACCGCAAACGCUUGCGGGAAGAAGCUUUUGAAAUUCAGCGAUUUCGAGCGGUUCGAAGCGGGACAGAGCGGUUUCUAUGAUUGGUACCAACCGCUAAUAACCGCAACCAACCGCUAAUAACCGCAACCAACCGCUAACAACCGCUAGAAGGGUGCUAGCGGGAGAACCAAUCAAGCCCUUAAUCCUACAAUUUUUGAAAAGUUCAUGAAUAAUUGGUAAGCUGAUAUAUACAUUUUUAACGAGACAAAAAACCAAUGUAGAUUUGGACGUAAGAUAUCUUUAGGGGACCAUCCAUUUAUAUGUGUGUUGUUACUAGCGCCAUGCUAUUUAUUGCUUGGGUCUCACUAUCAACUUACAAGUUACAACGUAACACAGAUUGAUAUCAAUUUGUUUUAUUAGACCGCAAUAAUUAUUUCCUAGAUCUACAAUGUACUAUAAAUGAUGAAGGAUUAACCGAAGAUGAAAUAGUAGUAAGAGUAUUAGACUUGUAGUCGUCGUUGUGUGACUUUAUAUUUGUAUAAGAUGUUCAUAAUUUCAACCGCACGAUAUAUAUCAACUAAAAAAAAAAAAACUAAGAAGAUGGCGUGUGCAUGAGAAGUGUGCAGAAAUAUUAUGUCUCGCUACAUCGUGAAGUAAAAGGAAAUGAACACAAAGUGUGUCUCACUACAUCGUGAAGUAAACGAAGAGAAAGAUUCAUCAAUAUGAGUGAAUACAUGACUGAGAUAUACAUAGUAUUAGUGAAGUAAAGUCUCAUAUCGAAAAUAAGAGAAGUCAUCAAAUAAUAUAUAAAAAGUUAGGACUAAUCUAUUUAUUACCAAUUAGUUUUGAAUUAGAAACUCAUGUCAAACCUAAAUUUAUCACAUAGAUGUCCUAAAUCAUGUGUUAUCAUGAUCUUGUUUUAAUCUCUUUCACAAGUUGGAAUCUUAUUGCAACUCAUAUAGAGACUUGUUAUAGAACUAGGAUAUGACCCGCGGUACACCGCGGGUUAAUUAUUUGAUUUUUUUAUUUUUAUAAAUUGAUGAAUUUAUUGUGUAUAAUAUUUUUUGUUGUAUACCGCGGGUCACAUGCGUUGUAUCUAAAAUAAAAAAUUGAAGUUGUAUUUGUUUUGUUCAGUGUUUAAGAUUGUAUAAUUGUAUUUUGAUUUGUUAUUUAUAGGAUUUCACCUGUGGUAUAUUGUCUCGUAUUAAUAUUGAUCCAAACCCGUCCAACCAUAUAAUCUAAAAUAAAAUUAAACAUCAUUUUGUUAUUUUUUUAAUAACACUUUUAUUUAAAUGUCAUAUAAUUCGAGUUAAUUUGAAAGUUGCUUUCAAAUAGUUUCCAUGUAUAUUUUUAAAUUAGUGUGUGUUUUUAGACCAACCCGUAAAAACAAUUUAUAAUUGUAUCUUAAAAUACUAAUUAGGAUUUCACCCGUGAUAUACUGUCCCAUUUUAAAUAAUUGUAAAAAUUAAAGAAAGAUCCGAAUAACUCAAUUUCGGGUCUGAAUAAAAUAACGACAUGAUUAAAUGCUCAAUUUGUUCUUAAAAAUGUUAAUAUAGAUUACACACAUAUUUUUAUUCAUCGAUUGAGUAAUAUAUGUCCGUUUUAAAAAAUUUGAAUUGUAACAUAUGCAGAAAAAAAAAAAACUAAAAUUUACUAACUAUUUAUAUAUUUUAUAAUAAUUUAAAAUAAUAUAAAUAUAAGAUCAAAUAAAAGUGAAAUAAGAAUCAUAUAUUUAUGUUUAAAUUAGGUAGAGAGGUUUUAGGAAAUUAGUGCAAAUUUGUUAUAUUAGCAUUAAAUCAUCAUAUUUGAUUUAUUUAUCUAUAAAAAUCGUGGAGAAUAUACCAUAAAUAAAGCGUUUAAAUAUAGUAAUUAGUUGAGAAAGUAUAUAUAUAUUUUAGAUUUUAUUAAUUAUUUUCGUUUUUUAAUUUUGCCAAAAUUUAAGGAAAGAUCCGAUUGAAGAUUUCCGGGUCAAAAUUAAACAAAUUUGACCCGAUUUGAGUACCCCAAAAACUGCUGCAAAAAUGUAUAGUAGAUAUUUUUGAAUAGUCGUUCUACCAUCCAUUCCAAAUAUUUUAAAAUAUUUAUGUUAAUAUUUUUAGUUAAAAUACAAAUUAAUAAAAAAAACAAAAAAAAAAAAAACAAGAAUUAAAAUAGUACUGUUUGGUUUGUAAAUUAAUAGUGUCAAUUAAUUAUUGGAAAAUAGAUUGGUGGUGGCCGACUUCACGUGAGGAGAUGCCCUCAUUGGACAGUCAUUUUGCUUUUGAGUAAUAAAUUUGCAAUUAAUAAAUGCAUUUCACCCACUUGACAAUAAUUUCGUUUAUGUUUUUUUAGUAAAAGUUCAAACAUAUUUAUGUUUCUCGAUCAUAGUCCAACGGCUCCACCUUGUAUGAUUUUAUCUCGUCCACAUAACUAAAGGUUGGUGUUUCUAGAUAAUCGAUCUUGUACUAGUUGGAGUAUUAAAUCUCCAAUACCUUUCUAACGAGUUAUGGCUCUUUAAAUAGCAUGCACCAAUAUUUUUUAUUUUUAAUGAACUAAAGCUAUUUCUGUAAAAAUUAUCAAAAAGACAGAAUAUCGUAAUCCGGAACCAAAAGACCAUCAAGCUCGCGCAUAUAGCGAGCAGGACGUUUGAUCAUUCCUUGUGGAUUAGAAUCAUUCUUUAUAGACAUUGAUGUACUAAGACACUAAAGAUAUAUAUAUAUAUAGAUAUAUAUAUAUAUAUAUAUAUAUAUAUAAGAGAUAUAUGUGUAAGUGAUAGUCAGUGUUAAUAUUAUUCUAAAAGUCGAUUCCUCAUAGUCGAAUUUAUAGCCAUGUAUAUCAUUUACCUAUCAAUGCUGUCAAAAAAAAAAAAAAAACCAUCAAUAUCUUUCUACCAUUUUGUCUCUAAUUGGUUAUUUGGUGUAAUGUUUUAGCGGUUAAUUGGCAACUAAUGCCGUUAAAACACUAAUUGAUGAUUCCUAUAUUUAUAAAAAGUUAUUUUAAAUGCUUACAUAUUAAAAUUCCAAAGCAAAACAUUAAUAACCGACCAUCACGACUUAACAUAGAGUUUAGGUCGGUAAAAGGAACACAAUUCGACAUGUUUCCACUUUGUUGUAUCCAACUUACACAUAUAAAUUUAUUUUCGUUCGGUUCAUUUUCUAUUGGACAAGUCACAAAUAGAUCUUAAAUUAGUGGGUCCUCCGCAAAAAAAUCAUGAAGCAUAAUAUUUUCUUUGAAGCAUUAUCGUUUUUUAGAAACAUUAUACAUUCAAAAAUAUAUAAACGAAAUAUGAAAUAUAAAGUAUCAUGGGAAAGUAUCGUUCGACCACUCUUUUUGCGCUGUCAGUAUUUUGCUCGUCUCCACAUGAUUUCGACAACCAACAAGGCACUAUCAUAUGAAUCUUCACUUCCUAAUGUUCAUCUAUAGUGUUAUAUUUCUCUUCAAAAUUUCCCUCUCUUUUCUUUGGGUUCUUUAUUAUAGACAAGUCAAAACACAAAGAUUUAUUUCCUUGGUAUCAAUGGUAUGGCAUAUCUUAGAAUUACUGUUGAUAAUUGAUUAUAUUUAACUUUCUACAUACACAACUAUAUUAUCAAAAAUCAAGGUAUUACAUGAUAUAAGAAUCUAUACUAAUAGGACAAAAUGGAAGCUGGUAAGUAAUAGAGAGGAACAAAAGAAAGGGAGCAUAUAUAAUGGAAUUGGGCUCAAAUCAAUCACUUUAGGGGACUUUUCAACAAAUUAAGUCUUCCUACAACAUUUUAUUUGUUUGGUCGUAUCCUCUUAUCGAAAAAAACUUUUAAACGAGAAAGUAAUUAAUUCAAUUACUUGUUUAUUCUCUACUAACUAGAUCAAUUAGCUUAGUGGAUUAAACAUAUAUAUAUAUAUGUAUACUCAUUCAAUUUAACACACAUAAAAAAACUCACAAGUUAAGCAGCUAAUGUUUCAUGCAAUUAUAUGUACAACAAUGCACAAGCACAAUUUGUAGGAAACAACACAUAUUAUCCUAUGAUUAGAUUCAGUGGAUUUGGGGAGUUAAAUCAUGCGUGUGUGUGAAUAUAAUUUUGAAACGUAAGAUAAGAUGCAGUGGAUUUAUGGAAAUUAAGAAAGUUUAAUCAGUGGAGGGUUUUGAACUUUCUAAUGAUGGAGUUGGCCAAACCAAAGUGAUUAGUGGCGAAGUGUUGGCCUCUACUUUUUUCCCCUCUUGUGUUUCAACUUUCUUCUUUUCUAAAACCCACUAAAAAUUCAUUAAAUACAUUAAAUUUUCAUUUGUCACUUGUUAAUCAUUAGUAUUUUAGUGAAUAUUUUAAACAAGCAAUGAUACAUACAACUAUUUUAGAAGACUUUUAGCCACACCAUAUUAUUAGAUUCGAAUUUGGUUCGUUGUACUCGGUAGCUUACGGCUAAAACAAAAUUAUGUUUUAAAAGAUUGGAUGAAUCGACUGUAAGAAGUUUGAUAAAAAAAAAAAAAAAAAAAAAAUCGACUGUAAGAAAAUACUACUUUUCAGGAUUUCGAAAAUAAUCUGUUGUAGACUUUUUGAUCCAUUUUUUCUAAAGUGUGUAGGCAAUUACACAAGCAAACAUCUUGUCCUCUUGUGUGUUAGUUGGAUUAUUUGACUUAACCAAAGAUCUCUCUUUCUUUGAAAAGUAUAUGUGAAGAUUAUGUAUUUUCUAUAUGAAACCUAUAUAUAGGGUUUAAACAAACACAAUGGAUCAAACUCUUAUCAAAAACAUAUAUAGGUUUUCUUUACUUUUUAAGGGUUCAUCACAGUAAUUCGUUAGGAUGUUAUUCAUCUUCAUAUUAUUUCAUCCAAAUACACAACUCUAAAAUUUAUACGAAUUUCGGUGUAUAACUAAGUAUUUAUCUACUUCUGUAUUAUGCUAGUUUAUAUAUUAGUAUAAAGUAUGACAAAUAAAGGGGAAAAAGCUAACUAAUUGUUAAAAUAAAAAAUGUGCAGCAUUUUAAAUUAUUUAUUUAUACCAAUGUUUUGGUUAUUUUCCUCAUUAUCCUCUGUGUCAAAAUCAACAUUUUGCUGGCUGGGGAGAAGUGGACCCCUUUUUGUUAUGUUUUUUUUUUUUUUGUGCAAAUUCGUUUAGAAGUCGCAUUACAAUCACACACCCAUUUAAUUCAUAUGAAAGAUAAAUAAAAGCGCUCUGAUCCAAUUGGAUGAGUACAAAUAUCAAAUUCUUAUGUCCUAACUUUCUUAUUUGCAUCUCCUUUUCACUUCCUUUAUUCUGUGAUCGUAUAUUAUCACUACGUACUAACGUGUCAUUAACCUGUUAUAAUUUUAAUUAGUUUCGUUAAUUGUUCUAGGAAACCACUAUUCAAUAUUGAAAUGUUCAUAUUGUCGGAUGAGGACUUGGAUACUAAUAUCCACAAAUAAAUUUUUUUAUCAUAUGGAAUAUUUGUUUUUAAUCAGUGGAUCACUUUAGGGUGAGGAACGAAGUUACUUGUCAAAAAGUUGUCAUGACACAAGGCUUUUACAAUUUGUACAAAACUAUGGAUGCCUGAUUCGAAUUAGUGUAACAAAAGCUAAACUUAUAUUCCAACCAAAAUCAAAACCAAUUUCAUUGGACUAGUUAUGUUCGAACCUUUAUUCAAUGCAUAAAAAACAAAAAUUACAAGAAAGCCUAAUAGCUGGCUAAUGACAUUGGGAAAUCUAAUCAUUACAAGUUUAAGUUAUGCACAAUGGAACAAAGAAUAAGUCUCUCAAAGAACAUUCUGAUUAUGAUUAGGACAAACAUAAAAAGAGACCCCACUUUUCUUUAUCUUUUCAAAAAUCCCCACCCAAUAACAUGUCGAAAUGAAGUUGAAUACAUUCAUUAGAUUAAUAACUAAAAUUACAGGAGAGAUACUUUAUAAAAGUUUUGUGAUUUAUGCGAUUCUGUAGAGUACUAUCAAUAGGGCACAUGUCAAUCAAAUUCGCAAAUUGAAUCAAAGGUCCUUUUGUAUUUUACUUGUAAGUUGUAACAAUCAAAUUGCUCCACUUAUCCAUUUCCCAAAAGGAUAACCUCUUUCUUUUAUUCUCUUUUAAAUUCGACCUACAAAUAUAUAUGUAUGCAAUUUCUACAUUAUUGUAGAUUUAGCCAAAGAUUUUUUUUUUUUUUUAAAAAAGAUAUGGUAGUGUUUAUUGUACAUAAAUAAUAGUAACUUAAAUUUUAACUGGCCAUUUUUUUUUUCAUUUUGAUGCCUAUUCCAAAUCUAGUUUCUACUAAUGAUAAAUGACAUGAUUACAAUAUGGGGUUUUAACUUUUAAGGCAUUAUCACUGAAACACUAAUGGGAAAUUUUCAGUUUCACCACAUCGCCUGAACAGUCACUGUUUCAGUUUUGUCUUUUGGGUUCUACUUUAAAGGUAUCUGAUUCGUUUGAACAGCCCACCAUUGAUGCCAUUGUCCGAAGCUCCAAGAAUGUUUCCUUGGGUCCACAAUCCAAUCGCUUUCUCAGCAAAAUCCACACAGUCAAAAAUUUACAAAUGCAACGACCUAGAUCAUUGCUCUUGCACAAACACCCAGGAAAAUGAAGAUAAUAAGCUCCAUAUUUCACUCGAUAGAUCCGGUUUGCAUCUAGUAUCAAACAUAUGUAUAACCAUAAAGACAAGAGCUUAAGAGAUUAUGAACCUAACCUAACUACUAUAUGCUGCGAUCCAAUGUGCUUAGAAUAUGGUAUCAAUGGUUAGCUUUCUUUUCGGCGGCGAUUUUUCUAUGAUCUGUUUCUCGUGAUCCAUAAAUGUACAGCCUUUGUUCGCAAAUAAUCUUCUGAGGUUUAUCACAGAUAGCUCGUAAAAGUUUCCAACUGCAAGAUCAGCCUGAACCAGAUCAUACCUGCAGAUUUGUUUUUGAUAAAGUUAGAUGCCAGAUAUGCUUCUGGUUCCCCAAAAAGAGUAAAAGAGUAAAUUUUCUACUUACGCCCGAUGAGCACCGAUUAAUCCAACUGCCAUCAUUGUACAGUUGUGAGCCGCAGUUAUACCCCUAGGAUCAUCCUCAAACACAACACAUUUCGACGGUUUUCUAUCCAACUGCGCAAAAGUUGUAAAACUUGUCAGCAACGUUUCUCAGAAAUUGACUAGGAUUCGCAUUUGAAUAAAAACGGUACCUUCACAGCCGCAGAAAGAAAUCUGUGAGCUAUCGAUUCCAUACCAUCUUCCUCGGAAACCACUGCCUGAAACAGAGAAUGAAUACAAUCAUCAGCAAGUAUAACUAUUUAUCUGCAAAAAGUAAGAUGACUAUAUAAAGCUACUACUCGCCUGGAAAUACUUUUGAAGUCCCAUCCGGUCAAGAGCAUUGAUCAUGUUUUUUCGAUCAAGAUUUGAGACCACAGCACAGGGAAUGCGAGCAGUUGUAACAGCGUCGAGCCAAUCUCUAAGUCCUUCUUUUGGUUUUGUUAGCUGAAAUACCGAUAGAGACACAAUUUAGGGAACCAAAAACAAAGCGGAUUUGAUUAAUACAAAGAUUGAUACAGAAAGACCAUACUUUGAGAAGACUAUCGUAAUAUAUUUCCGAUAGCCUGAGUUUCAAUCUGUCGAUUUUGCUUUGCGUUUUCUCCCAAUACAAUACCUGAAAUAUUUUGAAAACCAGCAAUUGAAUCCAUUUCCUUAUGUUAUGAAUCGGGUAUACACAUAGAGCUCGUUAUGGCCAACUCCUAAAUCUAAAAAGAAUACAAUGAGAGUAGGGUUGGACUCCACAUUUCAUAUCAAAGAAAAAUGGCAACUGAGAAUGAAUAUCAAACCUUACUAAGAACAUGGUCAGCGCCGGCAUAAAGCAUCAGUCUUUGGAUGUCAACCUCCUCCGUAAUUUCUUUUCCUGCCAAACAAUUUAAUAUAAGAGAGAUGGGUAGUUUAAUAUAAGUAAGACAACAUCAAUUCCUUUGAAGUAUAAUACUACAUACCAGCAAAAGAGCUAACACACGAGAUUAUCUCAAUAGCUCAAUUGAAAAGUUCACAUAAACAAAAAAAGUCAACUCUAUACUGCAAUGAACAUUCAGAGCAAGCUGUAUACCGAUCAAAUUUUUGCACUUGGGUUUACAUGUACAUCUUAAAUUAAAACAAAAUUCCAUUUUUUCCCAUGAAAUAUAUUUUGGGAACUGUAAAUGCAAAAGAAGUUUCUCCUUCUUUUGGGUUUACAGUUUACAAAGGAUUUUUUCUUAAAACAUUAGAGUUUGUGGGUUUAACUUAAGAAAAACACACUAGCAUGACAUCUAAACGUAAAAGAAAACGCAAAACAAACGAUUGAGGCCUCAAAGAAGGUAAUCUAACGUUUGAGUUCAUUGAUAUCGCUGCACACUCUCCCAACAUUCCUUACAAGGGUGCAUGGGCAGCACUAAACAUAUAUGAUCAGGUAGUGCAAGAUAUCUCUGUCCACAAAUAUGUAAGCAAAAAGAAACUAGACUCUAUUUGGGUAAAAACUUUAAGAGCAGGAGGGCCGCACAAUAAAAGCUUACCUUCUUCUGCAGCGAGCUGCUUCCAAGCUUCCAACUUAAGACUUCGAGUAUCAGCCUACAACGUUUGAACCACAAAUGGAAAACUGAGAAAAUCCGACUCUUGAAUCCAAAAUUGGUAAGCACGAUUCUAAAGAAGCAAUUUUAUUCUACAACUUUUGCCAAAUCCGCCCAGCCCUCGUGCCAUACAAGAAGAAAAAGAAAUUGUACCUAAAAUAGACCCAAAACUAGUAUGCAUGGACCACGAAAUUCUAUCCUACAACUUAAGAGAUUUACCAAAUAACAGGACAGCCAUCAUCUAAACAAACAAUAAAACUGAUAUUUAUAAGACAAAUCCUCAUGCCCCACUAGAAGAAGAAGCUAUUAUAUGUAAUCUAUAUAAGCAACAAGAAACUUCAUCAAACUUAACUUGCAAACAUAAAGAUGGUGUCAAAGAAUUACCACGACAUUGUCCCAAGAGAAAAUAAGUCCAUAGGCUUCAUCUGGUUUCAUUGCGUAACGUAUUCUUUGAAGAAAACCAUCUUGUAGUUUCUCAUUCCAGAAAUCCUACUUACAAGCAAAAAAAACAUGUUACCUUACCAAAAGAAUAACCAAAUAAAAGAUUCAUAAGCAUCAGUAGCUCUUACCACAUCCACUUUAAGAGGACCAUCCUGUCUAAAAGUCUCAAAGCCUUCUCCAUACUCAGCUCCAAUCGCCUAAAAUUCAACAAUUCAUCAAUAAAGUCAUCAAAUUUCCACUUCUAAACCACCAGAAACACAGGAAAAUUUACCUCUUGCAUAAAGAGUUUGUUUGGUUUUAGAGGAAACCCAUUAACGUCGCCGUUUUGAUAAUCAGACCCAGAAGAACUUCUCACUACCAACCGCUGCUUCACCAACUUCGUGUCUUUCGGUAUCUGGAAAUUAAAAAAAAAGUCCAGAACUUUAAAAUUGUCCCCCCAUUGAUUUCGAAUCAAAGCUAAAGAAGGAGAUUAAACGAUACUUAUACGAACCUGAAAGCUGAGAUUUUUGGAGAAAUUAGAGUGAGGAAAGCGAAAAGAUGGUUCGGAAGAGAUGAGCAGAGACGAAGGACGAGUACUGCAUGAGCAGUCCAUGAUAAAUUUGAUUAGGGUUUCUUCGGAAUCAGAAACUGAGAAGAUGAUUGAACCGAAGCAUUCGUUUUUGUUUAUUGAAUGAUUUUAGGGUUCGCAGUAGGAACUAUCUAAAAGCCUUUGUUCUGGUUCAUACGUUUGCAGCCAGAGAACGUUGAGAGAGAGAAGGUGAAAGAGAGCAAACUGAAAUUGUUAUCCAGUGGAUCACGCCAUUGAUGCCGUUUAUAUUCUUAGUGUGAGACGUUGCGUCGUUUUUAUGGGUGUAAAACACCACGAAGUCUGCAUCUGGCAAACACUAACCCCUAAAAACAGUGAGAAUUAUGGACUUUGUUGGCUACUAUACAAAUAGGGACGUUAAUGGGCCUAAUAAAUCAAUAUUAAUGGGGUUAAUGGGUUUUGAGAUAUAGAAACAUUAAAACAUAAAAAUUUACAUGUUUUUUCCUAAAAGUUAAAUUUCAUCAAUAUAGAAACCUAAAAAUUUACUACUGUUAAAGAUUUUGAGAUACAAGUGUAUAUAUAGACCAAUUAAAUAAAUAAAUCCAUAUAAGAUUUUUAUAUGAAUUUCUUGAAAAAUCUCCAAUUAUUAAAUGUAUAUUUCCUAGACAUAAACCAUAUAUGUCGCUGAAAUCUGGUAUAUAUGGAAAAGCCGAAAUCAAUAUCAUGUUGUGAAUCCGCAAAAGGUUCCAUGCGCUGAUUGCACUUGGCCAUGUGAUCCUGUUGUAGUUGGUGAAGGUUGUAUAUGUCGUUGCUAAAAUUUUCGUUUAUGUCAAAUAUUCGCCAUAGAUAUUGUGUUUGGACCUUCGAUAAAAUUGAAUAACAAGAAAAUAAUAUUUAUUAUUGAUUACUCGGAGAGGCAGAUAUGAUGAUGAGACCAUGAAUUUCUUUCUCAUAACAACCAGGGCCGAUAACAGGAAGUUAAAGAAAACAAAUGUCUAUCAUCAGUCUAUGGUGUUGCAAUCAACAUUUUUUUUUUGGUGUUGUAAGUACAUCCUAUUAAUAUGGAUAUAUAGUGUGAUAUUGUAUGACAUGCAUGAACUACAACAUAAUGUCUAUCAUAUAGUAUCACACUAAACCACAAACAACUUUACUUGCAAAUUGCUAACACCCAAAAAAAGACUAUGAUAGAUAAGAUGGCUAUACUUCCAUAGAUAUUUGCAUCUAUAAUUUAUAAGAAAAUGUAUUAUCCAUACUCCUGCUCCAUAGGUCAAAUCCAAAACUUGAUAUAGAAACCCUAAAUUAAACACUGGAUGGCUUCGAUUGUGACAUUAUAAUAUAACACAUUAAUGUGCGAGAAUCUUGGUGUAAUCGAUAUCAUUAUAAAUUUAAUGAUAUUUUUCAUUUGCUAAGAGCUAUAGUCUUGGAAGGUGGGAAGACUUUCUUAAUCAAGUAUAUAUAAAUUAGCAAAAAUAGAACCCACAAUGUGAAAAACGUAUUAUUAGUUGUAAGAACAAUACACACUGUAACAGUUUGUCAGUAAAUUAGUAGUAAUAAAUCAAAAUCUGAUACAAUAAUGCUAAUUUUUAUUUAUUUUCAUUUCAUUGAUAAAAACGUAUUGGGACAAUAAUGGCGGCCUGAUCAACGCUAAGUUAACUGCUACCACGAGAAAAAAAAAAGAAUCUGAGACUUGUUCUUCCCCCAACGACCAAUCUUAUGUUCCAUCAAUUUCACACCAGAAGCCUUACCUUUUUGAUUACACGCUUAUUCGUUCUCUUUUUUGAAAAUUCUUAGUCUGAGUAACGCUUCUUUCUAAAUUUUUCUGGGUUUUUCUCUGUUAUUGCAGCUGAAAUCGGAUUUUGGGCAUUUUUUAAAAAUUCGAUUCAACGAGUUUUCCUGUUAAGGGUUUGAUUCCUUUUCUGUUCAUCUUUGUUUAGUCAAAUCUGAAGACUUGUUUGGUUUGGUUCCAAUGUGCUGAGAAGAAGCUUCGUUGGCAAAAGUCGAAUCUUUUCUUCUUUUUUUUUUCUGGGUUUUUAUAUUCUUUGCCAACAAUGUUUAAGCUUGCUAAGCAUAUAUGCCUUUGAGUAGCUGCUGGUUUAUUCCUACAAGAUUUGAUCUUUAAGAGAGAGAAUGGGAUCGAAUUGUGAUGGGAAUUUGAAAGCAGAGAUUGAAGAAUCUAAUGGUUCUUCUGGCAAAAAAACUAGGGUUCCUCCUUGUCCUCUUGAUGUUUCUACAUCUAGAAGAACUUUGAUUGGUCAUGGUAAACCUAGGAGAUGGUCUAUUAGUGCUUUGCCUGAUGCUUCUAGUAGAUUCCAGCUUCUGAAAUUUGGUUCUCCUUCUGCUAAAUUCAAGAAAAUGGCUGAGGAUAGAGACGAGGUUUCCCGGUCAGUGAAGAGCUCAAGUAGCGGCAGCAGUCAUAACUUCAGGGAAAGAAUCAGUGGUGUGCUUCACCGGAAAAUCGAUUGGAGUUCUCUGAUGAAAAUGGGGAAAGAAUGGAUUAGGAAUCCUAUUAACAUGGCUCUCUUUGUGUGGAUACUUGUUGUUGCAGUCUCUGGUGCUAUUCUCUUCAUGGUUAUGACUGGUAUGUUGAAUCAUGCUUUGCCUAAGAAGUCACAGAGAGAUGCUUGGUUUGAAGUUAACAAUCAGAUUCUUAAUGGGUUGUUUACUUUGAUGUGUCUUUAUCAACAUCCCAAACGGUUUUAUCACUUGGUGCUUCUUUGUAGAUGGAAGCAGGAUGAUAUUACAAAGCUUAGGAAAGCUUAUUGCAAGGACGGGACUUAUAAGCCGAAUGAAUGGAUGCACAUUAUGGUUGUUGUCCUUUUGCUUCACUUGAACUGUUUUGCUCAGUACGCGCUUUGUGGUCUUAAUGUUGGAUUCAGGAGAUCAGAGAGACCUCCCAUUGGAGUCGCUAUAUGUAUCUCUGCUGCGAUUGGAGCUCCUGCGGUUGCGGGUUUGUACACUAUACUAAGUCCACUUGGGAAAGAUUAUGAUGAUUCAAAUGAAGACGAGGAGAAUCAACUGCAGCAACGUGAAGAAGGGUCUGUGAAUCGCCGGUUUACUUUAGAGAGGAGGUAUUCGUUUGCUUCUGCUUCCACGGGGGUUGGGGAUGGAAUGGUUCCGGUGAGUGAUCCUCAAUGGAGUGGUGGAAUUUUGGAUAUUUGGGAUGAUAUUUCAUUGGCUUAUCUUUCCCUUUUCUGCACUUUCUGCGUCUUUGGAUGGAACAUGGAGAGAGUUGGGUUUGGGAACAUGUAUGUUCACAUAGCGACGUUUAUUCUCUUUUGUUUGGCACCUUUCUUUAUAUUCAACUUAGCUGCAGUUAAUAUCGAUAAUGAGACGGUUAGGGAGGCGCUUGGGAUAUCUGGAAUCCUUCUUUGUGUGUUUGGUUUGCUCUAUGGUGGAUUCUGGAGAAUUCAGAUGAGGAAAAGAUUCAAAUUGCCGAGUUAUAAGUUCUGCUUCGGUAGAGCCGCGAUUGCUGAUUGUGCGCUCUGGUUAUGUUGUUGCUGGUGCUCUUUAGCACAAGAAGUUAGGACUGCAAACGCUUAUGAGAUAGUGGAAGACAAAUUCUGCCAAAGAAAAGAAGAGAAGAAUUUGGCAUCUCCGAAUUUGGUAUCUCCUUUGCCUCGUGAGGACGGUGUGUUUGAUCCUCGGUUUGGUCUCGGGAGCUCCCCUAAGAACAUAAGUGGAGCUAGUUCUCCUAGCCCGAGCAGGUUUUGGAAAGAGGUACAUAGUCCAAAUAUUCAGACACCUAGAGAGAAAGAAGAAGGUAAAAGCGAGGUUGCUCUGACUCCACCUUCUCCUCUGUCUAUACACCGAGAAGCUUGAUUUGUAAAACCAUGGAAUUCGAGUCCACUGGUAACUCUCCUUCCUUUCUCUUCAGAUGUUGUAUUUAUUUGAUUUGAGGACAACUUUUGAAUACAAGUCUCUUUGAGUGUUUUACAAAGUUUCAUGAAGCUGGUUUCUUCAUGUGAGUUAUAUACAACUUCGGUUUCUGGUUUAGUGAACUUUCACGGUUUCUUCUGUAAUGUAAAUUUGUCUGUCAUACUUCAGUGAGACUUUGCGUGAUCUAUGUGUCUUUGCAGGCUUUGAUUUUACUUCUAAUUCAUGACACCAGUUCAAAAUUUUGCUUGGUUUUCUGGUCCGGUUUGGGUCCAAAUUCUAAAGUCUCAGUGGAUUACAUAAGGGAUUGCACGUAUCUAUAAACCCACGUAUCGAUAGUGGUGAUCUACACCUAAUUGAGACGAGAUUUAACAAUGUUAACAAAUAAUAUAAAACUACUAGGAUAUGACCCGUGGUACACCGCGGGUUAAUUAUUUGAUUUUUUUAUUUUUAUAAAUUGAUGAAUUUAUUCUGUAUAAUAUUUUUUGUUGUAUACCGCGGGUCACAUGCGUUGUAUCUAAAAUAAAAAAUUUUAAGUUGUAUUUGUUUUGUUUAGUGUUUAAGAUUGUAUAAUUGUAUUUUGCUUUGUUAUUUAUAGGAUUUCACCUGUGGUAUAUUGUCUCGUAUUAAUAUUGACCCAAACCCGUCCAACCAUAUAAUCUAAAAUGAAAUUAAAUAUCAUUUUGUUAUUUUUUUAAUAACACUUUUAUUUAAAUGUCAUAUAAUUCGAGUUAAUUUGAAAGUUGCUUUCAAAUAGUUUCCAUGUAUAUUUUUUAAUUAGUGUGUGUUUUUGGACCAACCCGUAAAAAUAAUUUAUAAUUGUAUCUUAAAAUACUAAUUAGGAUUUCACCCGUGAUAUACUGUCCCAUUUUAGAUAAUUGUAAAAAUUAAAGAAAGAUCCGAAUGACUCAAUUUCGGGUCUGAAUAAAAUAACGACAUGAUUAAAUGCUCAAUUUGUUCUUAAAAAUGUUAAUAUAGAUUACACACAUAUUUUUAUUCAUCGAUUGAGUAAUAUAUGUCCGUUUUAAAAAAUUUGAAUUGUAACAUAUGCAGAAAAAAAAAACUAAAAUUUACUAACUAUUUGUAUAUUUUAUAAUAAUUUAAAAUAAUAUAAAUAUAAGAUCAAAUAAAAGUGAAAUAAGAAUCAUAUAUUUAUGUUUAAAUUAGGUAGAGAGGUUUUAGGAAAUUAGUGCAAAUUUGUUAUAUUAGCAUUAAAUCAUCAUAUUUGAUUUCUUUAUCUAUAAAAAUCGUGGAGAAUAUACCAUAAAUAAAGCGUUUAAAUAUAGUAAUUAGUUGAGAAAGUAUAUAUAUUUUAGAUUUUAUUAAUUAUUUUCGUUUUUUAAUUUUGCCAAAAUUUAAGGAAAGAUCCGAUUGAAGAUUUCCGGGUCAAAAUUAAACAAAUUUGACCCGAUUUGGGUACCCCAAAAAAUGCUGCAAAAAUGUAUAGUAGACUAGGAUAUGACCCGCGGUACACCGCGGGUUAAUUAUUUAAUUUUUUUAUUUUUAUAAAUUGAUGAAUUUAUUGUGUAUAAUAUUUUUUGUUGUAUACCGCGGGUCACAUGCGUUGUAUCUAAAAUAAAAAAUUUUAAGUUGUAUUUGUUUUGUUUAGUGUUUAAGAUUGUAUAAUUGUAUUUUGAUUUGUUAUUUAUAGGAUUUCACCUGUGGUAUAUUGUCUCGUAUUAAUAUUGACCCAAACCCGUCCAACCAUAUAAUCUAAAAUGAAAUUAAACAUCAUUUUGUUAUUUUUUUUAAUAACACUUUUAUUUAAAUGUCAUAUAAUUCGAGUUAAUUUGAAAAUUGCUUUCAAAUAGUUUCCAUGUAUAUUUUUAAAUUAGUGUGUGUUUUUGGACCAACCCGUAAAAACAAUUUAUAAUUGUAUCUUAAAAUACUAAUUAGGAUUUCACCCGUGAUAUACUGUCCCAUUUUAGAUAAUUGUAAAAAUUAAAGAAAGAUCCGAAUGACUCAAUUUCGGGUCUGAAUAAAAUAACGACAUGAUUAAAUGCUCAAUUUGUUCUUAAAAAUGUUAAUAUAGAUUACACACAUAUUUUUAUUCAUCGAUUGAGUAAUAUAUGUCCGUUUUAAAAAAUUUGAAUUGUAACAUAUGCAGAAAAAAAAAAACUAAAAUUUACUAACUAUUUAUAUAUUUUAUAAUAAUUUAAAAUAAUAUAAAUAUAAGAUCAAAUAAAAGUGAAAUAAGAAUCAUAUAUUUAUGUUUAGAUUAGGUAGAGAGGUUUUAGGAAAUUAGUGCAAAUUUGUUAUAUUAGCAUUAAAUCAUCAUAUUUGAUUUCUUUAUCUAUAAAAAUCGUAGAGAAUAUACCAUAAAUAAAGCGUUUAAAUAUAGUAAUUAGUUGAGAAAGUAUAUAUAUUUUAGAUUUUAUUAAUUAUUUUCGUUUUUUAAUUUUGCCAAAAUUUAAGGAAAGAUCCGAUUGAAGAUUUCUGGGUCAAAAUUAAACAAAUUUGACCCGAUUUGGGUACCCAAAAACUGCUGCAAAAAUGUAUAGUAGAUAGUGCUAUAUAUGAAAAUGAUACCACAAGUUGUCAUAGCAGAGAAAGAUCAGUAUCAGUAUGCAAUAUAAGAAUUAAGCAUCACCGUCUUAAAGAGUCAUUAUCGUGGAGAACCACAUCACUAAUCCACUUAUGUAUAGUUAGUUGUUUAUGUAAUCAACUUUCUGUGUUUUGUUGUGUAAUCAACUUUUGAUGUAUUAGUUAAACCUUUAUUUUCUUUUACUUUUAAAAGCUAACCUUUAUUUUCUUUGUGAAACUCUGCACAAAUAUCAAAAGAUAGUAAUGACAAAACAAAGUUAUUUUUCAUCAUUAAAGGUUGUGGUAUUUUAGCCAAUCAAAUUCUUUAGUUUCUAAUUUAAAAUUGUUUUUAAGAACAAAAAUGUACCACUAAUACUAUUGACAAAACUAUAGCUUAACACUUUCUCCAGUUUUAAUAUUAAAAGACUACAUUCAUACUAGAAAGAAACUACACCAAUUCAAAAUUCUUCAAAAUUCCUUUGUCUCUACUUCAAUACGUACGUAUAAAUGUAUAUAAGACAUGGAAACGUGUCAUGGGUACACUGAAGUCGCUGUCGCAGGACUAGAUGGAGCCAAUAGGUGUGGCCAUUGUGCUCUACGUGGACUCGGUGUAUGACACGUGUCAAGAUGAUUAUGCAUUAUGCUGCAAACUUCUGUGAAAUGGUUUUGACCAAAAAAAAAAAGUUGGCUCGACCAACAUACUCGUUGAACACGUUUCUUUGCAUAUUUCUUGAUUACUCUGCCAAUCAUCUAACUAGAAUACUAAUUAGAAAUCAUUUCUGUGUUUGUGAAUGAUCCGUGAAGAUUUUAAAAUGUUUCCUCCAAUAAUAUGAGCAUAGAAAAAUAUCAAGGACUAAUUGAUUCUUUAAAGUGGAAAGUCAUUAUUGAAAGUAAUUUAUUAGAGAUUUAUUGAUUAGUGGGUUUUCAUUAAUUUUAAAAUUAAAACAAAGAAUAAUUGAUUUUUAAUCCAAACUGUGUGUUGUUAUUUGUUUAAUAAUUUCUAGAUAUUAGUUAAAAUUUGGUAUUAUUCUCUUAGGGGGGUAUUGGACGAAGGAAAUUGAUAGAAUUAAACAGAAUUUGAAUUCUAGUGUUAUUCAUUUUGACUUUUUGUAGAUUCUAUUAAAUUCUUGUGUUAUUGAAAUAAGUAUUUGUAACCAUUCUUUUGAAAUACUUUUAAUUCUAGUGUUAUUCAAUUUGUUGAAUUCUUAAUUCUAUUAAAUUCAAGUGUUAUUCAAUGUUAUGUAAAAUUCUAUGACACCAUUAUUUGACAAGAAUUUAAUAGAAACAUUAGUGUAAAAUGUAUUGAACAAAUUCUGAGCCUUUACGUUGUGAUUUCGGUGGAAAAAAAAAGGACGUACGGACUUCAAAUGGGUCUUCUUCUCAUUGGCAUCUCUUAUGGAGCCAAGACCUCAUCAAAAUUUCCCUCAAAUGAUUCGUCUUCCCAUUGACAUCUCUUCUGGAGCAACCAAGAGCCUCAUGUGCAAACCAUUAGCUAUGAACUCAUGUGCAACAUAUCUUCUUUUCCACCUCUGAUCUGCUCCAAGCUUGAUCCUUCACCACCAUCGAGAGUUUCCACAACCAUGACAUGUGCUAAUAGAGCCACCAGUGAUUUCCACCACCUGUGCGACUUCUCCAACUCUCUCCUCUUCUCCCUUUCUCUCUUUUUUUGUGUAAACGAGAUUACUGCCUCUUUCAUCACAUCUCCACAUGAGACCUCACUUCUCCUGUUUUCUCGUAUCCUCCAGAGAUGCCAUGUGACGCAAGGGGAUAAAUCGGAGGUAAAACAAGCAGAAUUCUCCCUAGCUCAACGGUGACUUCGAGUGACUUGAAAGGUAUUACAAUGAACUGGGAGUCCAAGAACAAUUGCAAAAUCAAAGAGUCUUCAUUCCACGCCAACAAGAGGGCGUUCUUCAAUGAUAAGGCAGUCUUCGCUACAAUAUCUUCUGCUACCAACGAUAAGCGACAGAAAUGUCUCGUAAGGGAACUUCAAGGGUUUUAGAAGACAGCAUGUCCAAACAAGAUGCGACAGCGAGUCCACAAACACCAAAGAAGCUUUCAUUCCCUGCAAAUAAAGAUUUCCCACCAACAGGGGAAUUUGAUAGAACAUAGAUAUGAGCUAAUGGAGUUGAUGAGCAAUACGAAGAACCACAACACAAUUUCUACUUUGAUUGAAAUACUUAAACGAAUCAAAAUAAUCAUGAAUAAUAAAAAUAGAAAACUAUAAUUAUUGUUUACAUGAUGAUUUGAUGAUGCGUUAUUUGUGAAGGGAUGAAGAAGAAGAUGAAGGAAGCCACUGAUAUUCAUGUUGAUGAUACCUACACUUGAACGAUCUUGGAUGCUUCGACGGUGAACACACACACUUCUUCUUUCCAUCGCCACCGUCACCACCCCUACGGUGACCAGCAGUGGCUUCCACAUCUGUUGCCACCGUCACUUCUGCCCCCGGAGUAAUUUCGUGGAAGCUCUCCGGAGGGAUAACAAGAGGUAGAAGAAUUUUGUAAAUAUAUCUUUUCAAUUCUAUUGAAAUUUCUUUUCAAUUCUAUUGAAAUUUCUUUUCAAUUCUAUUAAAUUAUUGUAGAAUAUUCGUAGAAUUUGAAAGAAAGAUUUUAAAAAAUCUUUACAAGUACUUACAAAUCUGUAUUUAUGUCUUUAAUUCCAUUCUAUUAAAUUCUAUGACAUUCUUUGCUUCAAUACCCCCCCCCCCCCUUAAUGAUUUUUCAUUAGAAUUAAGAGAUUUCACAUUUUAUUUUAAGAGAUGUAGAAGUGUUUUUAAUUAAACAUAUAAAUGCUCCUAUCUAAUGGUAACAUUUUUUUUUCAAAUCCAUUUUUUCCUAUUUUAUAGUUUACAAUUUUAUUUUAUAUUAUCAAUAAUUUUUAUUUUCUAAAAAUCUUACAUAAAUUUCCUAGAUUUGGGUUUAAUAGAAAUUCAUUCCUUCUCAAAUCUACUAAAAGUCAAGAAGUAUUUUACUUACCAUAAACAAAUUCCAUAAACCUAUUAAAUAUUCACCUAAUACAAACGACGGUGGGUCAACAAUUAGCUGGCUCAACUUUCAAACACCUUUAUCUUCGGGUCCCACAAUCCAGUUUAACCCACUACCAUAACGCCACGUGCCAAUCUUAAGCUAAAAAUAUAAAAACCAUAAAAAUAGGAUGGGUUACAGAGAAUCAAAACCCAACCCAUAGCCUCCGCUAUAUAAAUCCCAGAAUUAUCAUUACCAUUUUCAAAAUCCCUUAAGAAUCGUUUAAUCUUCUUCAUCAUCCACCAUUUUCUUCUUCUGAUAAUUCACUUCGAUUCCAGAAAUUCGCCAAGAACUGGAUACUCUGGCGGAAUCAGAGAUCAAGAACCGAGACGUGGUUCUGAAACUGUAUGAAGCCUUGAGAUCUCGCGACGUUAAAUCUGUGCACCAGAUCUUAACCCCAGAUCUGGAGUAUUGGUUCCACGGCCCUCCGCCGCACCAGUUUUUGAUGCGCGUACUCACCGGAGGAGUCUCUCCGUCUUCUUCCUCGUUCGAAUUCGUACCUCUCUCCGUCGUUUCGUUCGGAUCUACCGUAAUCGCAGAAGGCUGCGACGCCGCGACCUCGAUUUCUUGGAUCCACGCUUGGACCGUAGCGAAUGGGAUAAUCACACAGGUGAGGGAGUACUCUAACACUUCUCUCACCGUCACGCGGAUCGGUAACGUUGUUGCUGGACGACGCUCCGCUGAGAUUGCGCCGUCGCAUUGCCCCUCCGUGUGGGAAAGCCAAUUCUCGGGUCGGGCAGGUAAAUCCGUACCCGGUUUGGUUCUGGCGAUUUGAAAGAAUUUGGUAAAGUAAGUAACAGCCACGUCAAGGGAAUAACUAAAUAAAGGCUGUUUACGUGUCGGUGUGUGGUUGGUUUGUUUGUUUUAUGGGUUAAAAGGAUUUGGUUGCUGUUUUAAACGCGGAGUGGGCUUCAGGCUAAGGCCGCGUUUGGCUGUUGCUAGUUCUUUUUUUUUUUUUAAUCGCUUUAAAAUAAUCGUGUGGUUUUGUGUUUUUUAGUGGGAGCAAGAAUGGGGAAACCCAAAUUGACUUGUUGUCCCGUUGUGUUUGAUGUAACGUUUGGUUAUGUUAUAAUUGAAAUAAAAAAGUGCUUUUGUGAUCUUUUGAUGAUUUUAUAGUACGAGAAGCUGUGCAUUUGUUAGCAAAAUAUAAUAGCCAUAUAUGGCCCAUAUCUUUGUUUGAAUUAGCGUUGAAAUAAUAUCAAUGUAUGACAAAUUUAUUUGGUUAUUGUAGAUUAUAGGAUUAGUCUGUUUAUCCACUACUCGGCAUACUCUUGUCUAAGAUCGCUUAUUUAGGGUCGCAAUAAGUAUGAACUGUUUUUUUUUUGGAUAAUGUAGAUUACAUGAUUUACUAUAUACUCCUUCCGUUUUCGAAUAGUUGUCGUUUUAGAGAAUUUUUUUUUUUUAAUUAGUUGUCGUUUUCAGUUUUCAAUGCAAAAUUUAUUACUUUUUUAUUUUUUAUAUUUAUUUUUAUUAUGCAACUUGAUUUACUAUUGGUUAAAUUAUGUUUAGGUAGAUAAUUAAUGAUAUUUUUAUAUUGAAAAACUAACGACAUUAAUAGAUUUUUAAUUUGUGUGCAUAUAAUUAAAACGACAACUAACGAAAGAGUUGAAAAUUGAUUAAAUGCAAUCGUGGAAGCAAUUAAUAAAAAAGAGUUAAAAAAGAUUAUGAAAGAGAAAGAAUUGGGAGUGGGAAGCAACGAGGAAGGUCACUUAUGCGUCUUUUUGUGGAUGUAGACACGCAUUUUUUCGCGUGAUAUAUCAAUGUUUUGGCGUUCGUAUGGUCAAUAUGGGGUGACGAUAAUAACAGAACGGAACUAAUAAACAAAACAGAUUAAUCAAUUGGGAAGAUAAAAAUCAUAUAAAAAGUCUACAUGGGCGUAUUUCAUUAUUUAAUUUAAUCGUGUGAUGCACUGACGCAAAUGUUGACAUUCAUUGAACUAGAUUUGUUUUUUGAUAAUGUCCCAUGCCCAAAAGCCAAAAUAUUCAUAAAAUGUUAUCCAAAAUAUUGAUGUAUAUUACAACGGGAAAAAUGUCGUUUUAUCUCCCAACUUUCAAAAAGUGGCCAAUCAAUACGUCAACUUUAUAUGUGGUCAUUUAAAACAUGAAAUAAACGUUGACUAACGUUUGAGACAUGGAAAUUCGUUGACCAUGCCAAAAUAGACAUGCCGUUAUCAGUCGUUAACGGAACCUCUAACGCCCGUUAUCACCCGUAACGACUCUGUUAAUCAACUUUCAAAUUGUGGCCAUUUUAAACAUCAACUUCAUAUGUGGUCAGUCAAAACAUGAACUAAUCGUUGACUAACAUUUGAAACAUUAGAUUUCGUUGACCAGGCCAAAAUAGACAUGUCGUCAUCAUUCGUUAACAGACCUAUAACAUUCGUUAUCACCCGAAGUUUUAAAAUACUCGAACGGAUUCUAAACUUCACAACCCGAAAACCCGAACCCGAACCCGACCCGAACUCGAACCCGAACAAGUACCCGAACAUACCCAAAAUAUAAGUACAUAGUUAUAAUAUAUUAGUAAUAUUUAUACUUGUAAUAACCUAAGUGCCAAAAUUAUUCGGAUGUUAAGAUAUUUUCGGGUGUUUUAGCUACUUUGGGUUAGAUUCGGGUUAAAAUACUUGGGUUUUAUAGAUUUUUUGAGUAUUUUUCAAUACUUUGCAUAGAAUCAGAUACAAAAUUUCUAAUAUUUGGAUACUUUGGGUAAACCCGAAUCCAAACCCGAAAUACCCGAUCCGAACCCGACCCGAACCCUAAGUUUUAAAAUACCCGAACGGGUCUUAGUUUUCUAAACCCGAAAAAUCCAAACCCAAAAAACCCGACCCGAACCCGACCCGAAUAUCCGAACGCCCAUGCCUAAUUUAGUCCUAUGAUGGGUCUACAAGUUUGCUUCCAUGAUUCCUUUUUAGAUUUAAAACAAAUAUAUAAACGAUGUUUGCUUCCAAUUAUUGGCUCCACGAUUGUCUCUAUAUCAAACCAUGUCCUUGGAUUAUGCUUUAAACAAAAAAUUUGUCCUAAUUUUCUCUCGAUUAUUUUCAAAACGACGUCGUUUUGGACAUACUAACAGAGUCGUUAACGGGUAUUUUAAAACUUCGGGUGAUAACGGAUGUUAUAGGUUCUGUUAACAAAUGAUGACGACAUGUCUAUUUUGGCCUGGUCAACGAAUUCUAAUGUUUCAAAUGUUAGUCAACGAUUAGUUCAUGUUUUGAAUGACCACAUAUGAAGUUGAUGUUUAAAAUGGCCACAAUUUGAAAGUUGAUUAACAGAGUCGUUACAGGUGAUAACGGGCGUUAGAGGUUCCUUUAACGACUGAUAACGGCAUGUCUAUUUUGGCCUGGUCAACGAAUUUUCAUGUCUCAAACGUUAGUCAACGUUUAUUUCAUGUUUUAAAUGGCCACAUAUGAAGUUGACGUAUUAAUUGGCCACUUUUUGAAAGUUGGGAGAUAAACGACAUUUUUCCCGUAUUACAACCCAUUUAUCUAUACUUUGAACAAAAUGUAUCCUCAAACAUUGAAACGUACCCCCUUGAGAUUAGUAGAAAUCUUGUUUUCUAACGUAGAUUGGAAGUAUCAUCUGUGAUUACAAGUAACGCCACCACAAAUGCGAAAUCGAUAUAUGGAUUCACUCUCACUUUGAAGCUGUAACUCCCUUUUAUAGGUCCUCCCCAUGAGAAAUCAUGAACCACCUGCAUAAUUUUAGCUCUCAUUUAUCAUAUUGUUCUAGCUAAAAUAACUUUAGUGUAGAUCCUUCGAACAAUAAGCUUUAUAUGGGUGCAAAUGGUUAGCUAGAGAAAUGAGCUAAAAUUUAACAUAAUUUACCGUAUAAUCUUUUAACUAUCGAAUAAAUCUAGUUUGAGCAAGAAGCAAAGAAGGUAGGAAUAAGGAUGACAUACCUCAGCAAGAAGAGUAUUGUGAAUUGGCUCGAAGAGUUUGAAAGAAGAGCCGAUAUAACGACCAAAUGUUUGAAAAUCUGGCGCAAUACUACUAAUGUCCGUUGAAUUUUGGGGUGGCGGUAAAGUGACAUCAAGUGAUGGUUUGAAGGAUAAUAGAUUUGGUUCCCUUGCUGAGAAAAGAAGAUCUUCAGAUUCUGUGCUUUCUCCUUUGUAUACUUCCCAUUUGUAUCUCAUUGUUACAAGUCCCUGAAACAUGGUUCAUUUGACGUUCCUUUCAGAAAACCAAGUACUUACUUACUCGUGAAUGUGGUCAAUUGGUUAUGAGAUGGAAUCAACUUUGUUUUCUCACGAGAGCAUAAAUUAUGCUUUCAAGUCUCAAAUAUUUCUAGACAUUCUUUUGACUCUAUAUGUUUUUGAGUGUCAAAUCAAAUUUCCAUUGUCUUACGUUCUACAAUUAAAAAUUUGAUCAUUUUGUCAUUGCCGAUAUCGUUAAUCAACUAGUCAUUCCAUUGCUGAAUGAGAAUAAUUUGAGACUAUCAAGUAACAAACUAAAGAGAAAGGUUGGCAAAAAAUUUUGGUUUUAGGCCAUUUACCACUCAACCUGUCUAUUGACAUCUACCAAUUUUCUGAAAAAUAAGAUUAGGCAUUACUAUCUUGAUGGGUAAGCUAGGUUCUCUAUGUGGAGAAAUUCGGUUAUGCAGCCAAAUUGUCCUUUAAAAACGUUUCGUAUAAACGACCUUGUUUUAAGAAAUAAUCUAAUAAGUCGUUCCAUUAAAACCGAACUAAACUUCAUAUAACACAAUUAACAUGUGAUGAUCCUCAACAAUACGAUUAAAUAACUUCGUAGAUAAAUAUAUGUGAUUAGUGAGGUUUGUGUGACCUUGGUACGCAUGGAAAGAAGAGGAAUUCCGGUGGCGUCACGGAGUACACGUUUACGACGGAUAUUCCAAAUGCCACCUUCCACGGUGAAGAUGAGAUUGUCAGAGAGAUCGAAAACGUCGUAGUGUUCCCUUUUCAGGCUCUCACGCCGCCUUCUCACCACCAGCUCCGUCGUGUACGGAUUACAAAACAUCUCUCCCACAACACUCACCAUUUUUAUCCAACAAUAUUUAUUUUUUGAACAAGUCUGUCUGAUACAAGAAAUCUAAUUAAAAGGAGUGUCUAUAAAUCAAAGGAUCGCAUUGUCUUGAUUUUUUUCUCAAAUUUUUAUAUUAGUUAAAUAAAGCGAAGAAAAGUAGAGCUUAUUAUAUAAAGUUUAAUUAACGCGGUUCUUAGAUUGCUUGAAGCAGAAGGAAAAGAUUAUUCAUUUACUAUUUUACUCUUAUUAAAGAAAAGUUAUUUUUUUUUUGUGGUUUAUGAAUGUGACACGAAGAGGAAUAAGAUGUUCUAACUAGUAUUUUAUUACGCUUCUUGAUCAUGUCCAAAUCCGACUUUCUUCAUUGACUGAGAUAAAAGAGAGAAUGUUUUGUUUUAAACAGAAAACAUUUUGUGAUUAUUAUUGUUUCUUGAUGAUCAAUAGACAACAGUCUUCAGAACAUUUAACUUCAUCAGUUGUUGUUGAUGAACGAAUAUGUUUGCUAAUUUGUUAUAUUUGCUUCUCUUAUAGUAUUCGCUCUUUCCAUUUAUUCGUGAAAGGAUCAUCUUCCAAAAUUCUCUUUCUGAUUGAAAAAUGGGAACCAAACACGUACAACAAAGUUUCCGAAGUUCUUGCAAUUUGAAAUCAGAUUCUUCUCUUAGUAUAGUAUGUUUUAGAUACAAAUUAAAUAGAAAUAAAAAUAAUGUAUAUAUUAUUAUCGUGAAAUGGAGAACAAUACAUAAGAAAAAGAUAAGGACUAAAUGAUCCCUAUGAUUAGAACUUAAUAGCCUAUAUCUCAAGUUGUAAAAUACUAAUAUGCUUGAAUAAGCUUAAUGUUCUCUACAUGGUUUAGAUAGAUGUAACAGCGCUUACCGUUAAACUCUUCCAUUCCUUGGAUUUGAAGUCUUCUGAUCGUGUUUCUCUCGAUGUUGUAGUAGAAGACGUAGGAAGGCAUAAAUGUAGAUGGGUACUUGCACGACAACACAAUUUCAUUGGUGCCUUUCAAUCCAAGAAACCGUAGGUUGGUCUCUUCUCCAACUAGAUUCUUCCACAAAGGAGGCAACAUGUAUACAUGUGUUGACCAUUCAUGUUUUCCAGCGUCUUCUAGGACCCGCAACUCGAAACUUUUACUUGUUCCACUAACAAUAUCGUUACUCUUCAGCCAUCAACAAACCUAAUUUGCCAUUGUAGUUUAUCAUAGUUGUUGACCUAGGCAGAUCUCUAUUGAAAGUUUCCGUGACUUUCAUAAAGCUGAACUUUUCAGAGCUAAUAUCAAAGCAAACUACCGUAGUUACCAUUAAAGACUCUUUUUCGACCGUAGUAUAAUACAAAACACCGUUGAUGCAUAUUUCACUACCAUGAGGAACAUGGGGUUUGCAGCAUUGAAUCAUCCUCCAUGAUUUUCUUUCAGUUCCUAGUGGUAGAACUUGAUACUCGAUCCUUACAUUGAUGCUCCUUGGCGUAAUAAUUUGAUACUGAUGGAUUAUCUGGCGGGUGACGUUUAAGACAGAACAAACCGUUGACAGGACCCUUGACUUCAUAGGCAUGAGGGACAUUAGUAAGAAGAUCCGCAGUUAUAGCACCCAAGUCCUCAUCAAGGUUUUGAGGCUGAUGUGAGGAGAAUAAGAAGAACCAAUCCUCGUGUGCGCACGCGAAUAAGAGCUGCGGGCGAAGAGAAGAAUUUCUCAUAAACAACUCUGUGAAAUGUUGAUCGCAAAAUACGGAGGCCCAGUACUUUGAUAAGCAACGACAUCUAGCAAUAGAUUUCGCCGGCAGCCUCGAGAAUAUAUCGACAACGAGAUCCUUUGGGAGCGGCAAUGACUGUAGGCUUUUUUCAACUGAGGCUAGCGUCCGCGUUCUGCUUCCAGGAAAGUUUAGACUAUCUUCCGAGACGUUCAACAACCGUCGUUUUUUCAUCAUAGUGGAGCGAGACACUAAAGCCCUAGAUUCUCCUCAAAGUUUUAACAAAAGGGCUUAUUAGCAAAGUAAACACUUUUAUAAAAGUAAUUUGAGAAAUAGGUAGUUUUUUUAGAAAUUUGUGAAAUAGACACUUUUUAUUUCUUUUGUGAGAUAGAAGUGGUGUGUAAUAGACUAAAAAACAAGAAAGAAGUCAAAUACCACUUUACCCCUUAUCUUUUGUGAGUUAGCUUUUUGUGUGGGUUCAAAUCUUUUAUAUUAUUGGAUCAAAUUAUAUUAUAUCAUUACUUUUUUUUUUCUUAAUCAUUUUGGUUUUCUUUUUAAAAAAAGAAUCUUAAAAAAAAAAAUGACUUGUAUAUAUUCUGCUACCAAUCUCGUACACCAGCAUCUUAAACAUAGUUUUGUACACUAACUUGUACACCAAGUCAUUAAGUACAUCGAUUUGUCUUAUAUUUGUAAAUUGAAGUAAUUAUUGUUCAUAAUAUUAAUACAAACACGAUUGUAAUAUAAACCAUAGGUUAUACUAAAUAUAAUAGUGUACACCAUCAUGUACACCAAUGAAUAUGAUGGUGUAUACCAUUAAAUUGAAAUAAUGUUUGUACAUUUCUAUGUAGUGUACACUAACGUUUGUACACUCCUCUGUAUACCAAUCUCGUACACUAUUGUGUAAAUAUUGUUUUAUACAUUAUCACUUGACAAAAAUGGUUCUUUCUUUGUAUGUGAUGUACAAGUACAAAAUAUGUGGGUGUACGAUAUUGUAAACUACACACGAGGUAGUAUAUGGUGCGACAUACUAUCUCAUCGUUAUAUGUACACCAUAUUUUACAUCAUCUCCGUACACCAUCGUAUUAUGUACGUGUACACCUCUAUCAAUUGUCGUUUGUAAACCACCUUGUAUACUGUUUACAUAUUGUAUACCACUUUUACAUUAAUAAUAUAUAUUAAUUUUUAUAUUAUCGCCGUACACCAUUUUUUACAUUAUUGUGUACACCGACGGAUUGAGAUUAAAUUAAACAAAUAUAAAAUAUAGCAAAAUUGAACUUUUUAGAUUCACUUAAAAUUUUUAAAGAUUAAUAUGUUUAUGUAAUAAUUUUUUAUGAAGAUUUUUUAACAAAACAAAACAAAAUAAAAGUAUUUAAGUUUAAGUUAAAAGAAGAAAGAGAAAAAGUUAUAGUUUUGUCUUUAUCUUACUACGUAACAAAACAACAAAGGAUAUAUAAGUCAUUUAAUAAAAUCUCUAUUAGAGAGAAAAUUGUAUUAGAGAGGAAAGAGAAAAGUGUAUAUCCUUCUAAUUUCUAAAAAAACUACCUACUUUGCAAAUUAUUUGUAAAAAAAGUGUAUACUUUACAUAAUUUCUCUUAACAAAACAAGAAAAUGAAACGCUGAUAUAAAAUUUAUCUCUUCAUUAGUAACAAAAAGUAGAUUGCGUGUAUGAUUUAGUUACAAGAAAAUCCAUCUAUCCCAAAAUUAAUGCCCGUAUAUAUAGGAGAUUAGUUUUUUUUUUUUUUUUUUUUUCGUCGAAAAUAAAAUUAUAUUAAUAAGAUUCAUCAUACAAUUGUUGAGAUAACCACCUUGGUGGAUUACAAGUUUCAGAGAAAAAACAUCGAACAGGAACACCAUGUUUUGCCAACAAAUGAGCCGCAUUAUUACAAGAACGUUUAGCAAAUACAAACUGUAAAGAAUGAAAUUUAGCUGCCCAUAACAAAAUGUCUUGAUAGAUACCAUCGAUUGUGAUAUCAUAAGAUUCUCCGUUAAUCAUCUUUGUGAGGUUCUGACAAUCGCCUUCAAAAAUAACCGAAGUAUGACCAUGAAUCCAUACUUGUUGCAUUGCGGCCAGUAAACUCUUAGCUUCUGCUUCAAGGGGCGUGAUGGCAUUUGGUAGACGGGACGCACCCCAGAAAUUUGCAUUGCCUCUAUCAUCUCUCAAAAUCCACCCACCCGUAACUUGGUGUGUUAAUGGAUCAAAUCCGGCAUCAUAAUUACAUUUGAGAAAAGGUGCUGGGGGUCUCCUCCAAUGUUGCUCAAUUUGGUCGAAAGCUAACGCUUGAUCAUAAGGUUCUCUAGACUGAAGAUUAUCAACCCAUUCAUGCACUUCUGCUCUCGCUUGUAGGACGACCAUAGAGGGGCUCAUUCGGAUCAUGUUGAAGACGUACUUAUUCCUUGCCUUCCAUAUGUGCCAUAGGAGCCAGAGUGGUAAAAGUUUCUGUUCUGUUUCCAAACCCUGCAGUUUUUGUAAUUCCAAUACCUUUAAGAGAUUACUUUCAUAGUUUGCGGAAGGAGAUUGUAGUGAGUGUAAAGGAACAUUGGAUAAUCUCCAUAUCAUAGUUGCAAAAGGACAUGUGAAAAGGACGUGGUUGAUGGUCUCAUUGGCCACACAGCAGCGCGGACACUUUGGAUCCAACUUCAUGUCGCGGGUGUUCAGACGUGUUGUUGUGGCUAAAGCCUUUGUGGUUGCCCUCCAAAGGAAAUGUUUGAUUUUUGGUAUUGUUGAUAAUUUCCAAAUGGAGUUCUGCAUUGUUAGCGAACCGAAAAGUACUUCUGGACGAGCAGCCAGGUAUUGAUGUUCAUGAGUAAUUAGCCAAUAACCCGAGCGGACCGUGUAUUCCCCUGUUUUAUUAUAAUGCCAGACUAAUUUAUCUGAUUGUAUACAUUGUGGAAGGUGAAAUUGUUCAAAUAUGUUACGGUCCUCUAGAAUGACUUUGUCUCUAAUUGCAUUCUUGUUCCAAAACCUGUAUGAACCUGUAUUAGAGAUUAAUUCUUUGAUGGUAAUGUCGGAGCUGCCAUUAAUGCUUCGGAUUGGUCGAGGUGGGUGAGUCGGGACAACGUUAUCACCAUCCAAACGAGCAAGUUCACCAUCGCCUAUGAUCAACCUUGAACCUUUUUUGAUAAUUUCCAGUCCAGCUAACACGGAGGCCCACCCAUAAGACUGUUUUACACGUUGUUUUGCAUCCAAAAUAUUAUCAUCGCGGAAGUAACGAGCUUUCAUAAGCCGAGCGAGUAAACAGUUUGGAUUUCUAAUGAUUCGCCAGGCUUGUUUAGCUAGUAGGGCAUCAUUGAAUUUAGAAAGGUCUUUAAAACCUAAACCUCCCUCUUUCUUGGAGAACUGUAACCGUUUCCACGCUAUCCAUGGGAUGCCUCUGUUUUGAUCACCCUUUUCCCACCAAAAUCGCAUGAGCCGAGCUUCGAUUUCGGAGACUACUCCCAAUGGUAGUUUAAAACAAGACAUUGUGUAGACCGGCAUUGAAAGGGCUACCGAUUUUAUCAUGAUCUCUUUUCCGGCUGGUGAUAGGUAUCGUGCACUCCAAGUUGAUGUUCUCUGCUUCACUUUAUCGAUAAUAUACGCAAACAUUUCUUUCUUUUUCUUGCCAAACUGUUCAGGUAGGCCUAAAUAUUUCCCAUUACCUCCAUGAUUUGGAAUUUCCAGAAUGUGUUUUAGGCGAUUUUGAAGGUUGCCGUUAACUCUGGAUCCAAAAGUGAUAAGGGAUUUAUUUGUAUUUAUUUUCUGGCCUGAAUAGUAUUCAUAAACUUCGAAAGCUUCUUUCAAAGCGCGGCAAUUUCGGCUAUUUGCUUGGCAGAAAAAGAGUGAAUCGUCUGCAAAUUGGAGAUGAGUAAUGGCAGGAACACCAUUCCCUAUUCUCACACCACGAAUUUCCCCAGAUUUUGCUUUUGUUGUGAUGAGGUGGUUCAUAAUAUCUGCACAUAGAAUGAAUAGAUACGGGGAAAGAGGGUCGCCUUGUCUAAUACCCCGCUCCGGUGUGACCAGCCCGUGAGGUGAACCGUUCACAAGAACCGAAUACGUUACAGAACGAACUGUAGCCAUGAUCCAUUCAAUCCAUUGAUUCGAAAACCCAAACAGUUUCAUUGUGGUCUCCAAGAAACCCCAUUCUACUCUAUCGUAAGCUUUUGUAACAUCCGUUUUAACAGCCAUAUAGUUUUGGGAGACUCUCUUACGAGUUUUUAAGGAGUGCAUCACCUCGUGGGCAAUGAGAAUGUUGUCUGUUAUAAGUCUCCCAGGAAUAAAGGCUGCUUGUGAAUCCGAAAUAAUAUUUCUCAAGUGAUGUUUAAGGCGGUUAACAAGGCACUUUGAGAUAAUUUUAUAAAGGACAUUACACAAAGCUAUAGGUCUAUAGUCACUCAGGAUUUUUGCAUUAGUAUGUUUGGGUAUCAUACAGAUAUUUGUAUGAUUGAUACUUGGUUUCAUGUAGGAGGUUAAAAAGAAAUCGCGCACCUCUUUGAUAACGUCCUCACCAAUGAUAUUCCAAUAUGAUUUGUAGAAACGUGCUGUUAAACCAUCGGGGCCGGGGGCUUUGUCAUCACCGAUAGAGCAAACAACAUCAUAUAUUUCUUUAUCUUCAAAAUCCCGAGUCAGCUCGUCAUUGAUAUCUAAUAGUGGUGAAUUGUGUUAUGAAAAAUUUAGAAACAUGAAUUUAAAAGAUACGUGAUUUGGUAAGUUAUGAUGGAAAAUCUCUUCCAUGAUAUUUUCCUUCCGAUUGAGAAAAGAAAAAAAGAAAGGAUGAGAAACACAAGAAGUUUGAAUAGUCAGAUUGUAUAAAAAUAUUGAAAUCAAUGUUCAAAAUAAAUGAUAUCUUUCAUUAAAAAAAAAACAUUUAUUUAGGAAAACAUAUAUACAGUAAUAAUUUUGAGAAAGAAAAAAGAGAUUGAAAAUAAUGUAUUUGUAAUUGUGAAAUGGAGAACAGCCACGUACGUACAUGUAUUUAACAAAAUUGUAGCAUUGGUUCUUUUUGUGAAAAAACUAUUUUUAUAAAAGUAUUAAAUUUUUAAAAGCAAAAUUUAAGUGAAUUAGUAUUAAUUUUUUAACAAAAUGCCUUGAGUGCUAUGCACAGAAAUUUUAUUUAUUGUUUGAUUUUUCUUUACAAAUUGAAGUCUAACUAUUCAAACUUAACUAAUUACCCUGAAUGAAAAAAAAUUAAAAACGGUAAGAGCCUCAAAUUCAGAAACUCAGAGUGUUUUUCGGUGGAAAGAAAAGUAAUGGGGUAGAUAUCAUGGUAUUUAAACUGAAAAAAAAAAUGGGGAAAGAUAAUAAAAUUUCACACUCUUCAUAUUCCAAUUGUUGUUUAUCGCUUUUCUUUGUAUUUUUUUUAAAAGCAUUUAAUGUCCACUACUCCACUGAUAAAAAAUAAACUCAAAGAUUAAUGCUUUUUUAUUUUUGAUUAAUCUGUAUUAAUGAUGUAUACGGAAAAAAAAAAUUGUAUGGAAGCAUGAAAGUUUGAAAUUUCAAAAGUUGGUGACAACGAAACUUUAACAAUGCAACACAUUUUCCAUUAAACUCUGUUUUUAGAGUAUCUCUAAUGCAUACCUCUAUAUUUUUCUCUAUUUUAGAGGAACUCUAUUUUAAAGGAGAUUUUGCUCUCAUGUAUCCCUCUAAAAUAGAGAAAAAUAUAGAGAUGGACAUUGGAGAUGGUCUUACCACAUUACUAUGGAAAACACAUCCUUUCUGUAAAGAAGAAGGCAAAAAUAUCAAAGUGAUAAUCCCAGCUACGUGCAUCGAAUUGCAUACCAGGGUAAAUAUCGACUAUUUGAUGCACUCUUUUUUGUUUUUUAAAGACAAAAACUAGAAGAUCUGUUUACUAAACCAGCAGUUAGUAUUUUAUUUUCUCAUGUUUGUUUAAAAAUUAAAACUAAAAUAUAAUAUCCCAUAACAUUUUUUUAGUUCAUAGUUUUCAGAAUUACCUCUUCAUAAAAAAACAAUUCAAAUCAAAAUAUGUUAUUUUUUUAUUGUUUGAAUUUGUUUUUGGUAACGUUGCUCCAAUUUCUGGAUUUAAAAAAUCAUUUGCAUGCAGAAUCGGAAUAAACAUGAUGGUAACAAUUUUAUAAUUUAUAAUUUUAAUUAACAAAAAAAAAAGCAAUUUUAUAAUUUUUAUUAUUAUUUGGUUUUGUCAAGAUCUUAAACAAAUCUCUCUACUUUAUUAACCCAGAGCAUUGACGUGAUUGUCGUACAGGCAACUGCAACGUCUCUCUGCAUUCUCCGAUAAAUAAUAUUACGAAAACACCCCUAUAACUUUCCAUUCUGGUGUCAAAGCCCCAAAACCCAAAAGGGUAAAAUCGUCUCAUAAAUAUUUCUUUUUCGCGCUUCAUCUAUUUUUCUUAGUCUCAGAAAAUAAAUUGCAGUGUUUCUGCGAUUUUCAGUCGUAGUACCUUUUUGUUUUAACUCUCUCUCAUAUUAGCCAUUCUCAAAUCAAAGAAACCCUAAGAUUUUUCGUGUUCAGAUUCAAUUUCUCUGUGAAAUUUUCCUCAUCCCAAUGCGUUCGACUGAAAUUUGCAGAAAGUUGAGUUUCUGAAGAUUCCGUUCGCUUUGUCUUCUUCGUCUCUCGAUCGUUCAGGUGAGGAAAAUCUUCUCUCACUCUAGCAGUUGUUUUUUUUUGGAAAUUUAGUCGAGAUUGUGCUCUGAUGUUGCUCUGUUUGCUUUUUUCUAAGCUCGGAAACCUUGAAUCUCUCUUCGGUGAGUGAGAUCGUCUCCUUCAACCUCAAGUAGCUGUUCGCUUAAGGAAUCUGAGGUAUCAUUGACUCAGCUUCUCAGAUUUGUUUUCAUUUCUUCGUUUCCGUUUAGAUUUCUGUUUUGGAAACCUUCGAUUUUGGUUUGUCACUGAGCGUUUGAGGAGGAAGAACACAUGUGGUUAUGAUAUCUUUCAUCUUUCUUUGGUUUCCGAAGUAGCAACUGGUAUUAACGUUUAUUAAUUGAAGAUCCUCUCUGCUUAGGGUUUCUGGAACUUAGUAGACAGAACAAAUUUCAUUAUAGUGUCUUCCGUAAUCAUGAAAUUUUUAGGUUUAGUGUUGUUAACAUUGUCUCAAAGUGAAAAAUGGUCCUGCUUGGGGUAUCUGGAACUGAAUAUUUUAGAGAAUUACUGCAAAUUGCUUGAUGAUUUUGGAGACAUUUCACUUUCCUCAUUAUCGUUUUUUGCUUUUCUUAUGCUUUUGUUUUGAUAUAUAUCUUGAUUCUUUCUAGUGAGAAGCAAUGGGUGCAGGGAGGAAGACAGAGACCUAUACAUUGGCUCCGGAUGGCCAAUACAUAUCAGGAUAUGGAAAUAUGUGUGUGAGAAAUCUGAAGAAGGGAGAUCUUUGUGGGGUUAUAUUUGGAUGCAAGUUCAGCACUAUCAAAGAGUGCUAUGCUAAGAAUUUGUUUGGUUAGUUGCCUAUACAAUCUUUGAGGCUUAAACUUUAGUGCCGACCAGGAUUUUGAAAAUGAUGCUCGUUUGUGAACAGGUUUACCAGCCCCACACAUGGCUUAUAUCAAGAACAUUGAUCCCGGCUUGACGCUGUUCCUAUUCAACUACAGUGACAGAACACUUCACGGCAUAUUUGAAGCUGCUAGUGAAGGAAAACUGAACAUUGAUUCCAAAGCUUGGUCUCCAAAUGGGACAGAUCCAACUCCAUAUCCUGCUCAGGUACCUUUACUUAGUACAGAACGCCUUCUUUAGUUGAUUCACCCAAAUGUCCUCUAAACAGAUAUGUAUCUCGUUCUGCAAAUUUUUGCCACAGGUAAAGGUACGAGUCCGAGUGCGGUGUGAGCCCUUACCUGAAGAAAAGUUCAGCCCCGUAAUUUCUGAGAAUUACAAGGACGAAAAGAUGUUUUGGUUUGAACUAGACCGAGGUCAGACAAACAAGCUGCUCCGUUUGUUUAAACCAUCACCAUCUGUAAGGGCACCACCAUCGAUAUCAAGAGAUGCUGUACCACCACCCAGAAAGCCUAUUCCGACAUCUUCUCUUGCACAGAUAGGUGACUUGGGAGCAACACGUGUUGAUAAGUGGAGCAGUCUGUUCAAAUCUUCCGAUGAGUCUACCGAAAACAAAGAAAAAGACUCAAAAGAAGGUGCACUCGGAGCAGGUUCAAGAUUAGUCAAUCUUGGAAAAACUAAAGAAUGGGAAACAGCUUCCAAUAAUGCAGAUGAGCGAAGAACUCAACCAUCAGUGUCACAGUCUGGUACAUCUUACUCAUCAGCUCUGAAAAACAUGACCGCUUCUUCAACUCUGGAGAAGAAAACUUCUUUGACAAAUGAAGUUUCAUCUCAAGCAUGUAAAGGUGUUGAAAAUCAUUGGACAUCGGCUUCUCGAGUUCCAUCUUUCCGCCAAGACAGUGGAACUUUCAGAAAUGCUUCAAAGGAAGGUGACGAUGUCAAAGUGAAUGCUUAUCAUCAUCAACAAAAUCUCCAUCCAACACAAAAGGGAACCUCUACUACAGCUAACAAUAGAAUAGGAACUAGCAUUAGCAAGGAAGAUCCUGCUGAGGAUACAUAUUCAGUCAUCGAUUGGGAUGCAGCAUCUUCCUUUCAAGUCCAUCUGGAUGGAUUGAACAAGAUUUUGGAGGAUCCUAAGGAUAAGGACUGUUUCAAGAGCUUUGCGGGUAACACAGGACAAGCUUCUUCAUCUGUAGUGCCUAAUUGUUGGGAGGAUGAGAAGAUUUCCUGGGACUUUGAGGAAAGAAGUAUAGCUAAAUCGCCUUGUGGAUCUUCGUAUGUUUCCGCCGCUACAGGAGACGUGGUUGAUGACAUCGGCCGUAUGGAUAAUUUCAAGGUGGAAAUUGGAUCUCCCACUGUUGUGGAUAUAUUGACUGAGGUAAGUUUAGGUCAUCCAUUGUUCUCUGAACUAUAAAAAAUUAGUUUUGCUUGUGACCCACUAAUGAAUCUACUAUGAAUGUGUUUUUCUCUGCUAGCUAUUGGCGGAAGUCAAGGAGUUGAAGCAUACUCAGAUGAAACAAGCCGAGAGGAUGAUUACUUUGGAGAUGGAGCAGGUAAAAACACUUUGCAAAAUUCGUAAAUUGAUACUUUUUUUCUUUUUUCAUACCUAGCGUCAAAUGCAUACUCUCUUAUCUUGCAGCUUGAAUCAAGAAGGGAGAUACUUCGGCUAAAAGGGAGCAAUGGAAGUCUUUAAGCAUAUGGUAACUAGCUACUUUUUUUCUUUUGAACAAAUGCGAAAAAAGGAAGAAUAUGGAAAUUAUCUGACUCAAAGUUCGAAACGGGCUUUAAAGGAAUACUAUUUCCUCUUUUGUUGUCAAUCCUUGACUUGGUAUGUUUCAGUUUCAGUAUGAAUUGCAGAAAAACUGGUACUGGAUGUUUUUUUGAACUCACUUCCAUUGUUCUUCGGCAUAAAAAGGUUUGAUUUUAACAACUACAUGAAACUUACAUCGCCAUUAAACUAAAAGCUUAAUAUCAUUCCACAUGUACAUGCUCUUUAUUCACAAGCAAAAUGCGCCAAGAAAGUUAUUAAUGAGGAAGCAGUGAGAGUUCUUAGACAAAAGAAACCAUAAAUGCAGAUCUUUGUAUAUGAGCUUCAUUUCACUCACACCUCAUUCUUGAUUGUUAUCUUGGACACCCUCAAAGCACCAAAGGAUUGUGUCUGUAAGAAAGCAACAAAAAAAGCUUCCAUGUGAAGUCCAAACAUUGAGCUUUUUACAUUCUUAAUAAAAUUCAGCAGUUUAAUCACCGAACAGAACGCCGGGCUACGAAUGCGAAAAUGAAAGAUCAAAGAUGUAUUUCACACAUUUCAGUAUCAAUUACGGACCUAUAUUAAAAAGUUUAUCCACGUAAUUUAUUAUAAUGUAUGCAAACAAAUUCGUUUAAAAGUCAGAACAUUACCUCUCUAGUGACUUGUGGUGCUUCUCCUUUUACAAUUGUUUCGGCCAAAAGGGUUCAUGAACCACUUUGGUUUGUAGAAAACCAGUAUGUAUCCAAUCGUCAAUCCAAAAACAAUACCAGGUAUGAAUCCUAUUGCAGCUGCUAUCCAACUAAUCACCUCUUCUUCUUCUUCCUCUGUUUCCGGCGUUUCAUUCUGUUGAUGUGAUGCUGGCGUGUGAAUAUCUCUGCAAACUUCUUCAAGAGAAGAGCCGAAAAGUCCCAGGUUAUCUUCAAAGGAAGAGCAAGACUGCUUUUGAAACUGAUUGCCUCCUGGAACUAGACCUGAAAGCUGGUUAUGAGAGAAGUUCAUGUACGCAAGGAACGAGAGGCUCCCUAGCUCUUGUGGGAUUUCCCCUGAAAGCUUGUUUUGAGAAAUGUCCAGUGACUGAGCUGUGAGGUUCCCCAUAGAUGAAGGGAUGUGGCCGGUGAAAGAAUUGUUUGACAAGUUGAGCACAUGAAGCUCUUUCAAUAGACCGAUGGACUUUGGAAUCUCUCCUUCAAAUCUGUUUCCCGAAAAGUCGAUUGCUGUGUAUAUUUUUAAGAUACGCACCAGCUCCAGUGCUACACCUCUAUUCAUCAAAACUAUUGAAUCAUGGUAAUAGUAUGAUCCCAUGUACUUUUCGUUAGACUGGUCUUCAUUAAUUUCCCCAAGUGAUGACAUCCCACUCCACUUCACAAAGUACUCUGUUGGCAAAGUUCCAUUGAAGUGAUUAUUUGAUAUGUCGAUGAUUCGCAACAUAGGGAACAAGGUUCGAUGUAUUGGUCCAUGGAAUGCACUAAAGCGUAAGACAAGAACUUGUUGCUCCGGCAGUGAACUCAACCAGAACGGAAACGUGUCGUUGAUUCUGUUGCUUUCCACGUUCAAAACUUCAAGAGUAGUGAAACGAAUCAAAGAUCUUGGAAGCUUUCCCACCAGUUGGUUAUGGCCGACGUCAAGCGACCUCCGCUAAGAUUAUUUUGACGAAGGUUUAGAACUGAAAGAGUACUCUUGAAAUUUCCCAUGCAACGAGGGAUUGAACCAUUAAAGUUGUUGUCAGAUAAAUCGAGAAUUUUUAGAAAACGUAACUCGCAUAUGAAAGAAGGAAUCUUGCGCGUGAAGCUGUUGUUGGAGCCAAGCAAGUACUCGAUAGAUGGAUUCCGGACUGAGGAUAGUUCAGGUAUCGUUGGUCUGUCGAAACCCAUGAAAGUGUUGUUGGAAAGAUUCAUUUCUACACAUUUUGUCUUACUUUUUAGUUACGUACAGGGAACCUAAAAAAAACGUUGUAGUUUUUCCAACCAAAUUAAAUUGACCGAGGAAAAUGAAUUCAGGAAGAGAUGACUAGUCCUAGUGAUGAUCGACACUCGACAGCGUCGAGAAGGGUUCAUCCCCAUCGAUGUAUCAAUUUUGCGCAAAAAAAAAAACUCAGGGCUAGAGCCCAAUAGUGAAGGCGGAUAAAGAAAACGAGGGCCCAUUUCACCACAUGGACAUUUGGUCUCAUCGAUAGUGCUUGGACAUUUUGAGAUUAUUCAUCUUUUAUUUUUUUUAGAGAUUGCGAAAUAACAAAUUUGUGAUUGCCUUUUUCUUUUUCAUACCUCAUAGAGUAUCCGAAGAUGAAGAGAGAGUCUGAAAACCACACCCUACGAUAUGAAUAUGAAUUGUAAAAUAAAAACUAAAACUAAACACAAAAUAAAUAAUCUAUGGCUGUGAUGUUGCUUUGUGUAACUGUGUUAAUGAUUAAUUACUGUUAUAGAAUUUUUGGAUAUUAUAAUUCAAAUUUAACAUUUUGAUAAAUUGAGAAAACAACUACAUAUUAAGGAUUACAAUAUCUACCCUUUUUUGGUUAUAAAUUAUGCAUAACAUACUGUUAAUUUUUUUUCUCAAAAUAUUAGAUUUUGUUCAAAUAUUGACUAUAAUCUUAGAAUGAGAUUUCUUAAUAAUUAAGUUUUCAUUAUUUAAAUAUAAGUUCUUAAAAUAUUUUGUUUUGUGAUUUAAAUUGAUUUUAAUAAAUUCAACUAUAUGAUUAAUUUAUUACUCUUGAGUCUUAACAUGUAACAUAUUCUAUUAAAUAUUACUAUGUUUCUUUGUAUGUGUGUUUAUCAACUAUGGUAAGGAUUCAAUUGCUUACCCGUAUCGAGAGCGUGUUUUUAUGUGGUGACAAUUUCGACACGUGUCAUCACCAGGGAAUGUAGUGAUCCAUCUUUCGAAUGAAUAAGUGCCAUGUCACUACUACUCUCAUUAAAAUAUCAAAAAUAUCUAGACAAAGUUAUAAAUACCCUUUCGAUUCUUAAUAAUAUCUGAUUUCUGUAAAAAGUUUUUUGUCUUUAGAAAAAAAAAAAAAAGACGCUAGAAAGAACGCGAAAGCUCUCGACGAAGAUUUGAUUUUGAUCGAUUUAACACGAACCAAAACAACAUCUGCGUGAUAAAGAAUAGAUUUUUGCCCAUUAAAGAAGAGAUUCGACUCUAAUCCUGGAGUUAUCAUUCACGAUAGGUAUGUUUGAUUUCCGAUUUUUUUCUGAUUUAUUCUUUUCUGGGUUCAUCGAUUUUUCGCUGAAUUAGUCUCGAAGAGGGUUUUGGGUUUGAUGAUUCUAGGGUUUUAGAUGUUUUCGUGAUCAUUGAUUUGUGAAAAAUGUCAUCUUUUUAGGUUUCGCUGUUUUUGAGAGAAAUUUGGGAUUUUUCUAAUUUAGGGUUAAUUUUAUUUACACGGUUUCUUUAAUUGUGAGUAGCUUUUACAAUUUGUUCAGUAGCUUGCUCCCGAAGACUCGGGUAAAAAAUAUUGGAAAUUCUAAUCCGAAUUUUCCUUAUCUAUAAAUAAAGUAAAACUUGGUGAGCAAGUAAAACACCCUUGGUGCCCAAGUUGUUCCCGUGCCUCUCCAUAACUAUAAAUUCUCUGUGUGACUUGAUAGAUUUUCCGUUUUCUGGAAUUAGAGAAAGAGACUAAUUCAAACGUUUUUUUUACCUAUCUUGUAGAUUCUAAGAUUGCGACUAAAAAGAAGAUGGCUGUAUAUGAAAAAACCGGAACCGAUACACCGAAGAAAAGGAAAUCUAGGGCUCGAGCAGAUGGUUCAACGGUGGCUGAUAGGUUAAAGAAGUGGAAAGAGUACAACGAGAUUCUUGAAGUUUCGGCUAUUAAAGAAGGAGAGAAACCGAAACGCAAGGUUCCUGCGAAAGGGUCUAAGAAAGGUUGUAUGAAGGGUAAAGGAGGACCAGAUAAUUCUCACUGUAGUUUUAGAGGAGUUAGACAAAGGAUUUGGGGUAAAUGGGUUGCAGAGAUACGGGAACCGAAUAGAGGACAAAGACUUUGGCUUGGUACUUUUCCUACCGCGGAAGAAGCUGCUGCCGCUUAUGAUGAAGCCGCUAGUGUUAUGUAUGGUCCAUUGGCUCGUCUUAACUUCCCUCAGUCUGUUGGGUCUGAGUUAACUAGUACAUCGAGUCAGUCUGAGGUGUGUACGGUUGAAAAUAAGGCGGUUCUUUGUGGUGAUGUUUGUGUGAAGCAUGAGGAUAUUGAUUGUGAAUCUAAACCAUGUAGUCAGAUUUUAGAUGUUAGGGAAGAGUCUUGUGUAACCAGGCCGGACAGUUGCGCGGUUGGACAUCAUGAUACGAAUUCUGUGCUGAAUUACGAUUUGCUGUUAGAGUUUGAGCAGCAGUAUUGGAGCGAAACUUUGCAGGAGAAAGAGAAACCGAAGCAGGAAGAAGAAGAGAUACAGCAGUGUUGGAGCGAAGCUAUGCAGGAGGAAGAGAAACCGAAGCAGGAAGAAGAGGAGAUACAGCAACAUCAACAGCAACAUCAGCAACCGGAUUUGCUUACUGUUGCAGAUUAUGGUUGGCCUUGGCCUAAUUAUAUGGAAAAUGAUCAGAUUCUUUGGGAUCCUAAUGAGUUAUUUGAUAUUGACGAACUCCUUGGAGACAUGAAUGGAGGCAUGUUACCUGGUCCCGAUCAGAGCCAGGACCCAAACCAUGUAAAUUCUGGUAGUUAUGAUUUGCAUCCGCUUCAUCUCGAGCCACACGAUGGUCACGAGUUCGAUGGUUUGAGUACUCUGGAUCUUUGAGAGUUCUGAGGCAAUGGUCUACAAUACUACAACAUAAUCUUCGGAUUGAUCAUAGGAGAAACAAGAAAUAGGUGUUAAUGAUCUGAUUCACAAUGAAAAAAUAUUGAAUAACUCUAUAGUCUUUGUUCUUUCCUUGGAUCAUAAAGUGUUGAUUCUCAUCUAUUGAGUUAAUAUAGAGAACGAGAACAGCAGAGUUACUUUGUUUCUCCUCUUUGUAGAACAAUAGUGUACAUACUUAACAGAAAAAUUAACCAUAAUUUACAAUUACAGUUCUAAAAAAAUCUUGACUUUAGAGAAAAGAAUCAUGGAUAAAAUAACUUGGCAAAGAAAAGCUCGUUCCAAAUAUCUUGAAGACCAGGCAAGCACCAAUGUAUACAGUCUGAGUAGCUAGCCGGAUUUGCUAGCUGCUCCUUCGUCAAUGGGCUCCAUUGCUUCUUGUAAAUUGACGUGUGCGCGUCUUUUCGAUAGCCUGAGAGUUGUGUAAUGUUAAGUACAGUCACCGGAAAAUCGGCUCUGUGGUCUAAUUCUUCCCCUAUCACUUUCAUUAAGGUUUUGCUGCAGUCUGAUGGCCAAUGAUUCAUGUCUUGGAUCGGUGUCGUUUGAUUGUAACAAUUCUUUCCAUGUUCGCCUCCCCAAUCCUCGCUCCUGAUCAUGGAGGUAGAAAAUAUGAAACCUUUGUAUUCUAGGGCUUCGUUACGAGCUAAAUCUUAGUCUGGUUUCUACUUGCGGAUCAUGUCAAAGCCACAUUUACUGGAACUAUUAAAGAUAAACCGGAUCCUUCUAAACCCCAUUACUCAUUUCAUUCUAUACCAUAUCUGAACUAUAUUAUUCUAAGCCAUAUAUCACCUCUCUUUUUCCUGGUUUUUAAUUUGAAGCAACUGUUUAUAGAUGACUUAAAUCACAGAAAAGAUCGAGAAGUUACUGACUUGUAGUGAGUAGGAGACAUGGUAGCAAAGAAAACCCUUGUCUUCGAUGGAUCCAUAUUCUUCUUCACCCAUUUAACCAUAGUCUUCAGCGCCAUUCGAUAUGCAUCCUCGCUCUCCAUCUCAACGAUUUUCUUGUUUUCAUCCUUGAAAGAACCUUCCCUUCAGAUAACAGAUUGAAAAAAAACAAUCAAAUCCCAAGUAUUGAGGUAUACAGAAAAAAUAUCUUGAGAACCUAUAAUUAGAAACAAUGACAAGAUUUUUAAAUUUCAUGAUUGGUACAUACAAGAUCUUCAUUUUGAAGCCAGUCCUCCACCACAAGUAUGUGUUGAACACGACUAUAUCAGCGCCUCGCCAAUGCCUACCGUGUUUGUUGAUCGAACCUUUCCUAACAAUCCGAUCUGAUACUCUAUGAACUGUAGCGUUAUCUGAAUUCGAUUCAAGAAGAAAUGGUGCCCAAUAGAACUCAAUCGUUGCAUUGUAGUCCUACAUAAAUAUACCACAAGAAUCUAUAAGAAUCCUACCAAGCAAACAAUUUUCAUAUCCAAGCUUAAUCUUAAUUUUCUACAAAGCAACUUCAAUGGCUUCCACAAGACUUUCUAAAUCUGAGCCAAAGUAUUAUUGAUUGAUUGAUUCCAAUUACCUUGAGAGAGAAGACGGUGAGGGAUCCGAAAGUAUCCAUAGAUUUAGAAUUUUCUGGGAUUUGUGAAUGAAGAAGACAGAUGAGAGAAACAUACAUUCCUCUGUUCAACGAAUCUCCUACAAACAUCAUCUUCUUCCCUCGUAAGCUCUCCAACAUCACCGUCGCAUUAAACCUAUAACACAUUCAACAACCACAGAGUAAACCGAUCUGAAGAUCAAUCACCGAAUCGCAUUCAAUAUCGAAAUUGAGAGAGACUAACGAAGGAAGUGAGCAGGAUUCAGGUUGCCAUCUCCAUGACUGAUAAUCACUAUCGGGACGGCCAUGUGUGCGGCAAGUGAGCUGCGGCUGAAUGUACGGACACUCCGAUUCUCUAUAAAACGGACGCGUUGACCAGUCUUUGACCCAAUUCCCUUUGAACACAUCGCAUCCUUCCGGCGUCUUCCCCAACGCAAAAGCAGGUGGUGGUGGAGAUGGCGGAGGAGGAGACGGUGGUGGAGGAGACGGAGGUGGAGGAGACGGUGGUGGAGGCGGAGGAGGUUCGUCCACUACAACGACGAUUGCGGAUUGGUGGACGAUUGUCGGAGAGUGAAGAGAUCGACGGGAGAAAGAGAUGAAAUGAUGACCGUAGAUGAAGGCGGCGAGUAAGAUGAAAGCGAGUACGGUGAAGAAGAAAUGAGUGAGACGGCGUUUUCUACGGUGCGACGGUGAUAACAACGCCGAUGUCAUUUUUUUUUCUUUAUAACGUUUACUUUUUUUUUUUCUUUUCUUUUCACUUUUUAUGCCUUUUAUGUAUUAUGACAAAAUUUGGUUCAGAUAAAAAUGAAAUUUGGAGUAUAGUGAAUUAUAGUCUAUGAUGAUGAUUAAUAUAAUAAAAAAAAAGCUAUAGUUUGUUGCACUUGCACGAUCCAAAACCAAACCCAUGUUCUUGCCCAUAAUUAAGCACGACUGUUUAUAUUUUAAUUCGAACUUACAAAUGUAUGUUCGUAAGACUUUUAUAUUAUUAAAAUGAAUAUAAGAGUGUUUUUAAUUAGUAGGAAAUUGUUAUGUUAAUAAUUAUGAUUAAUUGUUAGUUGCUUAAUUACGUUUUCUUUCUUUCGAUUCAAUUCUCGUUUGGAACAAUUUCGUUGUUGUUAAGCCAGCAGCUGGUUAUGAUUUGAGCUCGAAUGUUUAAACUGUAACGCAAUGUGUGUUGUAUCCAAUGAAGUCGUCUAAUCCGGAUUUGAAACAAAAAGAAAGGAAGAAAGCCACUACACUUUUUGCUAAUCACAUGUUUCAACUUUUAAAGGAUCAACAUUUAACCUUGUAUUCAAAGGCCUAAUAAGCAUUUUAUCAGAUCCAACAAAGAAGAAUCCAACUUUUCAUGCCUUAAUCAGUAAUCACAGAGGCCCAUAUAUAAAUAUCUUAACCUCUCCGCUUUCGUGUAGUUUAGUUUACUUAAGAAAAGAAAAAAAUGAAAUUGUCAUGUCGUUAGAUUCACAUAAAAAGAAUGAUAAAUUCAUAUGCUCUGUUUUUUUAUUUGCGUACGAAUAACGAAAAGAAAAAAAAAACAAUUAAAAAAAAAAAGGAAGCCAUCGUCAUCGUCUAUUCGUCUUCGUCUGUUGACCUCUGAAAAAUGCGAGAGCUUCUUCGCGCCUAUUUCUCUCGAAGAACUCUCGUAUCUCUUUACAAUCUCUUCUUCACACUCUCCCAUAAGCUCCUCACUUCAUUCCCUCUCUCUCUCCUCAUGCCCAAAUCCAAUGAUGCCGAUGUCGCAGAAUCUGAAGCCGUUCCGUUGCUCGAUCUUGCCAAGCCGUCGUUACCUAUAUCUUUCCCGAUCAAAUCUCUUCAAGAUCUGAAAUCUCGUUCUUACUUCGUUUCCUUUCACUUCCAGUUUAAUCGCUCCACCGUACCUCUCCGGCGAGACUCCGAUGACUUACCGAAUCGCCCAAGGGUUUUAGUCUGCCAUGACAUGAAAGGAGGGUAUGUAGAUGACAAGUGGGUACAAGGAUGUGAAAACGACGCCGGAUUUGCGAUUUGGCAUUGGUAUUUGAUGGACAUUUUUGUUUACUUCUCUCAUUCUUUGGUCACUCUUCCUCCUCCUUGCUGGACUAAUACUGCUCAUAGGCAUGGCGUUAAAGUAAGUAAGCUCAAUACUUUUUGAUUUUUUAACAUCAAAAGUUUCGAUUUUUGUUGAGAUAUCUCUGAGUUUGCUGAUUAGGAUGAUAACAUUAGAGAGUUUGAUUGUUUGUGUACAGAGAGAUGAAUAUUGCUGAGGAUUUUAUUGGUAAAAGUGUUUACUUUCUUGUGUGUUAUGGAAUCUUAAAGGUAUUGGGGACUUUCAUCACAGAAUGGGAUGAAGGUAAAGCUACCUGCAAAGAGAUGCUUGCCACAAAAGAGUCUGCUCAGAUGUAUGCAGAGCGUUUGGCAGAACUUGCUACUGCUCUUGGCUUUGAUGGGUGGCUGGUGAGCAUUUUUGUUUGAUUUUUAUGUUCUACUCAAGCAUUUAUAAUGUAAAAUAUCUGCAUUUGUAACACACUGGUGAAGUGGUGUGAAGAAAGGUUUCCUUUAACAUAUAAGAUUGUUACUUGCAGAUUAAUAUAGAGAAUGAUAUAGAUGAGGAGCAGAUUCCAAAUUUGAAGGAAUUUGUAAGCCAUCUAAAAAAAGUCUUGCAAAAAAAGUCUUGCAUUUAUCUACACCUGGGGCGUUGGUUAUAUGGUGAGUUGCUCAGAAGUUUUUCCUUUGUUCUUUUUGUAAUCCACUUUGAUCUGAUAACUUUCUGCAGGUAUGACAGUGUCACUAUUCAUGGUAAUCUUCAAUGGCAAGAUCAAUUGACUGAGCUGAACAAACCUUUCUUUGACUUAUGCGAUGGAAUAUUCAUGAACUAUACAUGGAAGGUCUGUCUAUGGGUUUGAUCAGUUUUUCGAGUCUCAGUUUCUUCUAUAUGUAUUGUUUUUGAUAUUAGUGAGUGAUGAUGUUUCAGGAGAGCUACCCAAAACUAUCAGCUGAAGUUGCCGGGGACAGAAAGUUCGACAUCUACAUGGGAAUUGAUGUCUUUGGCCGGGGCUCUUUUGGUGGUGGGCAAUGGACUGUAUGUCUCGGACACUCUUUAAUAUUUUCUUCUCUGUGUAGAAUACAAAAUAAUGAUCUGUACUUAAUUAUUUCUUUUGGUCCUGUUCUUUUACAUGCUAGGUAAAUGCUGCUCUUGAUUUGCUGAAGAGAAGCAAUGUGUCAGCUGCCAUGUUUGCUCCUGGAUGGGUUUAUGAGACUGCACAACCCCCCAAUUUUCAUACAGCUCAGAAUAAGUAAUACUUUAAAUAUUUUGCAAUUUCCUGGUCAUCUUUGAAGUUUGAACUAGCAUUACUGUGACUAUGAGCUUAAAUUUUAUUCUACUAUUGCUGUAAAGGAGACGCUGGAUCUUAUUAGUAUGCAUGUGUUUUCUCUACAGAUGGUGGUCAAUUGUCGAGAAGUCAUGGGGAAUAGUCCAAACUUAUCCACAAGUCUUGCCUUUUUACUCGGAUUUCAAUCAGGUAAGGUGAAAUUGAUCAAGUCUUGGUUCUUAUUUUGUAACACUAACACCAUGGUAAUUCAUGCAUUGAUUUUCUUGGUUAUGAUUAUGUUCAGAUAUGUUCUGAAACUCUCUUCUCUCUUUUUUGUUCAGGGCUUUGGUUACCAUGUUUCACUCGAAGGUCGCCAACUGUCAGAUGCUCCAUGGUACAACAUAUCUUACCAAAGUCUUCAGGUUCAACCAUCUUACUGUCUUUGAUUUUACACAUAUCUAAUGUUUACAUGAACCAAAAACUUUUCCUGCCACAAUAUGACAAUUGUUCUUCUUGAUCUGCGUUUGUCUCUCCUCUCAUCUGAUCUCCGUGUUUGUUGUGUUUUUCACAUCAGCCUCUCUUAGAAUUCAAUGAAGAAGACAACAAAGAUAUCAUCCACGUCACUGUUGAGUGAGUUCUGGCCCUAAUACUAUCCCCAUAUUUAUUUCGGCAAGAGCAAAAAGGGAAAAAUGUUUUUGACAAUUCUGAGCAAACAUUUAAACAAUUACUAUGAAUUUGAUAGUGCUCGAGAGGCAUCUUUUAACGGAGGAGGGAACAUCGCUUUUAGAGGAAAACUCAAGGGAGAUGCGUAUUUCACAACAAGGCUCUUCAAACCCCAUCUUCAGCUUUCAUCUUCCCCCAUCACAAUCUCCUACUCUGUAAGUCUCUGCUUCUAGAUACAUCACAUUAUGAGAUCUUGUUGUUUUUACUCAUGGAGGAUUUUGGAGCUGGUGCAGGUGAAAUCAGAUGAAACCUCUAAACUUGGAAUCCUGCUUUCUUUCUCAUCUCCGUCACAGGAGACGAAAUCCAUUCUCGUUGCUCCACAAGAUUCCAUCCGUAGAUUCAACGGCAUGUUCUCACAGUGUCUCGCCACAUCAGCGCAGACUGUAUCCGAGUGGACGGUACACGAGACAAGCCUUGUCAUGGAUGGUCACACACUGACUGAAAUCUCUGCCUUUUGCUACAGACCAGAUAAUUCGACAAAGAGUGCAGAAUAUGUUGCAUUGCUGGGACACAUCUCAAUCAAAGAUCAUGUUCAGUCCCAGCAUAAACCCGAGACUUUACUUCCAGCAUCACCGUGGGUCAUCGAAGCUCAUAACAUAGAGCUUGUACAGGGUAAUUCUGGUUCUAAGAGCCUCAGGGUUAAGCUAGAAUGGAGACAGAAAGACCUUGAAGAUUCUGCAUUCCCAAAGUACAAUGUGUAUGCAGAGAAUGUGAAGUCGACUGAUCUAAGAUCGAGGAAGGUGCUAGAGAAACCGAUAAGUGAGACAGUGUUCCUUGGAGUCGCUCACGUACCAGCCUAUUACGUAGGGGAACUGGUGGUAGAAUCAGACGUGAAAGGAGUCCGCUUCGUAGUUCAAGCCUGUGGCAAAGAUGGUUCAUGGGCCAAUUUGGAUGAUUCCCCUAAGCUUCUAGUUGAACUGGAAGGUCUCUCGUUUCAAGAUUCGUCGUAGGUUGUUGCUUUGCUUCACGCCAAAAUCUAAAAACUGUGAAACAAUAAAUAUUGAAAAAUCCUGACCCGAAAAAUAUUGUAAAAUCAAGUACAUCUAUUUUUUUUUUUUUUUUUUCAUUGGAAGAUUUUAUAUUAUACGAAAAGUGUUACAACGUCGAAUACAAAGCCGGAUAAACCGGAAACAAAGCCCAAGAGUGAUAUGGGAAACCAAAGCCCGAGAGUGAUACGGGAAGCUAAAGCCCUAGAGUUUUAAGGGAAACUAAGCCGGCAUGAACUACUCAUCCGGAGCCAUGAGAUUACAUACAAAACCUUAAACAAACCUUAAAACACUACCACCAAAAGAAGGAACAUGAAGGCCCACACUCGCAAUCACCAGAAAGUGCGGAAAGAGCGGUAGACGCGGAGCUACAAAGCUCACAAGCAGCCGCUGAGGCAAGGGGAAACCGCGAAGAAAAGAACCAAAUACGACGAUUAACAAGACCAAAGAACCACGAACGAGAAUCUCAAAUCCUAUCCACCAAAACUUCAACCAAAAGAGUCUUAAAUCUAGAACUUUGCAUCCCCACAAAAGGUUAGCCUUACAAGAACUGACCAAAAAAGACUAUAAGAAAACUGCUUAUUCAACUAAUCUAAAGGCAGUGGAAGGACGGUUUUUAAAGAUUCACCGAAAUAAAGGAUGCUAAACCCUAGCCAUACAAACGACUAAGCACACACAAACCAAUGACCCACGAGAGUAAUCCAAAACAGCGGUAGACCCAAAGUACUAAGGCCACCAUCAAGCAAACCGGGGAUAUACCAAACAAGCUUGACUU